rnacentral:lncRNA from 1 species
GAGGAUUGCCGGUGUUGUCAUGGCGGAGCGGAGAUUGUCCAGGGUUUCCUGAUGAUACUCAUGAGAUCCGUGAGAGAAAUUGAAUCGAGCCACGUUCAUUCCGGCCCUCAGCAGCUUCUCUACCAUCGCCACCGAUCUCGAUGCCGGCCCAAGCGUGCACACAAUCUUCGUCUUCGGCCUCUUCUCUACUCCAUUAUCCUUCAUCAUCUCCAUUUCCUCGCACGCAAUCGAAUCGAUCUAGAGAGCGCGCGGUUAUACGAGGGUCAAACGAGGAGUUUCGAAACGUUUACAUACGCAAACCGUGAUGCUGGUAGGUGUGGAGAGAGAGAGAGAGAGAGAGGACCUGGUUAUUGGCCCCAGUUGAAGCCCACUUGAAUUUUUUUUUCUAUUUUCUUGGGUGACAAGUCCAUCAAUACAUAAAAUAAAAUAAAAAAAUAAAGAAGAAGAAGAAGAAGGUCGUCUUUUCCCGCUUGCUUGGGCUACUUUGCUAUUUAAAAUGAAUUCAUUUAAGAAAGAUUUAUUUAUUUAUUUUCCCAUCUAAACUAGGAGUCAUAAGACUUAUUCUUUUCACUUGUAAAAAAAUAGAUAAUUAAUUUUUGCAUUUUUACACUCCAAAAUAGGAAUGUAGAAAUCAAUAACAUAAUGGUGUUAAUUUCUAAACUCCUAUUUUAAAGUGUAAAAAUUAAAAAUGAAAGUGCGAAAAUCACUUCCCAAAAAAUACUUGGUGAAAACUUCAUACCCAGCCGCCUCAUAAGAAGCAUUCUAACAAGAAAGAUUUUCUGUUCAUGAAUUAUGGGAAGCUGUCAAAGUUUUUUGCAGAGUCGUCGUAUCCCCAUGACCAUGACCAUGGGUUUCAGUUCACUUUGACAGGAAGGGAAUUGUGGGCCAUCAUCAUGUCUGUGGAAGAGCAUUUCGGUUUCUUAAUUUUGUAGGACUCAUCAUCAUAGGAUUCGCUUCUUCGGAUUUCAUUUUCUCUGUAAGAAUGGGAGUCGUUGGGGUUGGGCCAACUUUUAAAUAAUGAUAGGGGGUGCAUCAGAGGAAGCAUAAAAUGGAAAGAAAACCUAAUGAUCCUUGGUUUGGGUCCUAUCCUAUCCCAUCCUAUGGGAUAUGAUUCCUUUUGAAAUUGAAUUUUCUCCAUUUUGAUUCUCAAGUUUACAAUAAGAAAGAAAAUGAUAUGGAUUCAGAGUCCUUUUUAGACUUCAAAAAUAAAAAUAUAAAACGGAGCUCGAGAAGAAAAUGAAGAGCGUGUUUGAGAAGUUGGUUGGUUGGUUGGGUCGUGGAAUGAGAAGAAGCACAAGUUGUAACGAGGUUAAGAUGGACUCCGACUUGAAUCCAUUUCCAUGAUCCGAUCCUUCAUCUUUCAAGCCCUGAUACAUAUACAUAGAGUAGAUAUAUAAUAUCAUAUCCAUCCUCUCCUAAUUUUAUACAAUACACACCACACCACACCACACCACACCACACGUGCAUGAACUUAGCAAUACCAUCUUGUUUCGAUCAGUCAACUUCUUUUUAUGAAUGCACAGACAGAGAUCUGUCCCGUGGAAGACCCCCUCAAACAACUUUGUACUUAUAAAACGACUUACAAAAUUUACAUAAAUGAAUGACUUCUUCAGUGACUAAUUAUCUUUUUGAAAUACAUUGAAAAUGACUCUAGUAGGAAGAGAUAAUAAAGGAUUAUAAUUUCUAAUAAUAAUUCAGUAGAAAUCCAAACAAGCCACAAACUAGGAGAAAAUCAAAACCAAAUUCAUGCCAACUCCAGAUACUGCAUGAAUCAUAAGAAAAAUUACAGUCCUAGAGUCUAGGGCAAAAGGAAUGUUGUUUCUGAUGACAAAACUACAUGGUCAUCAUCAUAGUCCUAAGUUCAAUUGUGAAAGAAAAUGAGGAUGACAAUACGAAAAAUCAGAUUUUGUGGAAGGUCUAUCCUCGUAAAAACUUCCAUAUUGUUUUGGAGCAGGAACAAUACAAAAAGGAAAAAGUGCUUCCAAGCCUCAACUCACCUUUUCUCCUUCCGUUUCCAUUGAAGCCUCUCGCUCGCUUCACAAUUUGUGAAAAAUCUCACAACACAAUAUCAAGUGACCUCCUAACAAAAUGUAUAAGCAAGCAACUUCGUAUGCUGAUUGCUAUAUAUAAGCCUAGCCAGAGAGUUUUAAGUUCAUCAUGGACCUUGUGGUUGCUCCUUUGUCAUCAAGUCCAGUUUAUCUUGCAGUCCGUCACACGUUCGUUCACAUACUCAAAACACUGAGCUCAUCGGAGAACAAAAACUAAAUACCAUGAAAGUUCCAAAGCAGGAUAGAAUACGUGAAAAUCAGUCUGAUAGGAACAAGUACCUUGAGCUUUUAUUCUACAAAGAGAACUGGGGUAGAUAGCAAUGCUCAUAUCUGCCACAACCAAAAUAACGUAGUUUGCAAGGCAUGGACUACAGCAUACGGAGGAGAAGAGAGAGAGAGAGAGUGAGAGUCAAUCGCAACGGCUUGGUUAUCCACAGACAGUUGCCCUCAUUCUUCAACCCACAUCUUAAUUUUGAACUGUAUGAGGAGAGAGAGAGGAGAGAGAGGAGAGAGGAGAGAAGAGAUGGCAUGCACCAUGUCAAUUUGAGGAUUUGCUCAAUUUCCAAUAAACAAACACAAAAUGUUGACAGUUGUUUAAAGGUGAAUAGGAACAGAAUUGACCACAAUAUCAGCCAAACCCAGGCACAUGACUGGAAGAGGCAAAUGACCUACAAAGGGCAUACAAAAACUUCGAGGACGUUGAUCGAAUACAUCAUACUGAUAGAAACCAAUUUUAAAGGAGAGUUUCGCCACAUUAACCAAACAAUGUGUGACCAAAGACAACUAAAUGAUGGCCAGUACCUUUAACGUCUGUCAGGUCCAUUCCACAUUUAUCCAUUUGAAAAGAGCAUGACUUUGAUGAGUCCUCAAAUUUGUCACAGUUACUACAGUCAGGAAACGAGAGGAGCAUUAAUAAUCAGCAAGCUAAUAAGAAAGGAAACAAAAAGGAUAAGAGCUGUCGCAGCAAACGGACAUUUCAUAAGGCGACUCCAUGCAGAACACAAAAAAGCACAUAAUAUAUACCUGCAUCCUAAAUUUUCCAUUAAUCUACGGCAGAUUCAUGUAACAUCAAGUUGAGUCGUCAUUGGUGCACAGUCACUUAAAUAAGGCAAAUAAGAGAACGAUUUGUGUCAACAUGAGGAUCAGGCUGCCAUUCUCCCUAUUGAUAGUCAACUUAUUAAAUCAAAUCAUUAUUAUCUAACGUUCCAGCAGGCUAAGGACAACAAAUAUGGAGCCAAAUUAUUCCUUGGACAGUCCAAGGGGCUCCUCGAGAUCAUCUUGACCUGGCCUCCCAAGUGAAAGAAAUACAAAUGAUUACCAUCACACAGCCUUAGAAGGACUGGUCUGGAAAAAAACAUCAGUCAAUCCACAAUGCAGUCUACCGAGAAGUUUUUCAGGUUGUCAACAAAGAAAGAAUCAAAGAAUUAAUGCAAGGAACAAAGUGGAUGACAUUGAUGCCUACCCAAGGCGUCGUGCUUGUGACCCUCCUCCUGUGAAGUUGUUUGAAUGGGCAAAUUUUAUAGACAUACCUGAAAGCAAUAUUUGCAAUACAUUAUGAGAGGGGGAAACCGAUAAUGUUCGAAAAAUAGUAACCCAACUUAAGAAAGUACAGGUUCAUAAACUUGUUCUGCUGAUCUCAAAGCCUUUAUCAGUAGAAUGAAUUAGAACUCCUUUCUGGACCUGGAAUGACGCCAUUGUGGGCUUAGAUAACUGAUGAAGCCAAACUACAAACGGAUUAAAACUAAAUAGAGCAGGCAUUAUGCAAUGCCUGUCUUUCACUUACCCAAAUCAUGUUUUUAGCUUUUUUGUCAACUGAUAUUCUUGAUGUAUCUUAGGACAACUUGGAGCUGGAAUCAAUCAUAUUCUUUGCGCCCAUGAGAGCCUCUACAGUGCCAAAACACAACAGCAAACCCAUUCUCAUUGCAUAGCAGUCAUUCAGUUUCCAAGUGCCAGUAAAAAUGAAAUUUUCAUUAGCUACUGAUAGAUCUACAGGAGUCUGGAACAAAUAACAGCUUGUAGAUUUUACGAACAGUUUGUUGUAUCUUUCUAACCAAGAUGGGCACUUGAGGCCGUUCACUGAACAUGUAAAAGUACAUACAACUUCACAAGGAACUGAAGACUAUAUUGGGUAAACAUACUCUCCCCCUCUAAUUGGUUAAAAUACCCACGGUUUUAAAUGGGACCACUCUAUUAUUCAAAGUGGCCCCUGUAUUUCAACUAAUCAAGAGGAGGGUAAUGUUUAUCAGGUGGGUGAACAUACUUGCACUCCUAAUAUUCAUUGUAGUGAAGAACGAAAUAUUAACUGGCUCGCAUUUUUAUGGAAAUAUUGGAAGAAGUAGAUGCAAACCUGACAAGUUUAACUCAUCAUCUGACACCGAUUUGUACGAAGAACUGAAAUCGUCAUGAUUCUCCUGUCCAAAGUCUUCUGUACGUUCUUCUUCUUCAUCGUCGUCGUCAUUAUAUCUUUGGCUUUCAUCCUCUGAAUCAUAUCCUUCAUAUUCCUCAUCAUGUGCAUCUGUAGGUGCCUUAGAGAUUUCAGGUUUAUCAUCCUUCACAGCAUCAACUUCCCUAGUUUGCUCCCCUGUAUUUUCUCCUGUCCAACGGGAAGCGACAAGACGACCCAACUCUUCUUUUGACAGUGACUUGGGCUCCUAAGAAUACCACUCAAGGCAAAUACUCAUCUCCUCAAAUUAAAAUGAAGGUAUCCACGUAUGACAAGGUCCAAGGGAAACCCAAUAACUACAUGCAAUCACUUAAAAUCCAAUGAACUGUCAACAGUUUAACAGGCAUCUUCCAAAUUCCAAAGAAGGGAUCUUUGCUCAUGGCCAAAAAAAAAAUAAUAAUAAUAUGAAGGAAAAAAAACUUCAAGUCCAGGAAGGUAAUGCAUCUCAAUUUUUUCACAAUUAUCACGGUCUUAGAGUUCAGUCAGAAUUAAUUUUCAGACAAUUGAAUCCAAACACGGUGUCCUAAAUCAAGAUUUGUCAAAAUUCAGAGAAAGAAUUUGAACUAAAUGGAGGAAUAUUUUUGUGGAUAUGUUUCUAAUAAUCAACUGACAAAUUCUGGAGAAAACAGAAUUCUAAUAUUUAUUUCAGCCAAAACUUUGACCAGUUCUCAAAAACUCAGCUGAAAAUGCAGUCAAGAAAGUAAAAGAAUAUAUGAAACUCAGUUUUUCAAACAUGGUCCAUAAAGUUGGAAAUUCCAGAAUCUUGGAUUUGAAUUAGAAAACAAAAUAGCUUAUAUUAGUGAAUUAUACACCCAGAAGAAGCUCUAGUGUUAGUGUAGUCAUUAACAUACACUAAAUCUUCACCCUAGGGAAGAGAUCAACAAGUGCUCUUUUAUCUCUGAAUACCAUUUUGAAAGUGAACAAUGUUUUCAAUUUUCACUGAAGGAAACAUAAGUCACUAACGUUCACUAUUUUCUGCUAAUUCUCAUUCAAAUUUCAAACUAACAAAAUAGGGAAAGUUAAAAUGGUCCUCGAAAUAUGAUAUGAUGGACAGAGUUUUAAGGUUCUUGGGAAGAGAAGAGUAGACUGCAGCUCAUGUCUUACCUCAAGAAGAGGAAGUUUACUAAUUUUGAAAAGCUAUAUGGGGGAUAUGAGCAAGUUCAGGCAUUAUAUGGCAAGAGUACAGAACCAUCCAUUUAGAGAAUCUAUAGGUCAGAACUUAUAAUAAAAGCAAAUAAGCAAUUAGUGAAUGUAGGUUUCCCAGCCAAAAGGAGGACGCUGCUGAUUAAGGUGUUCCAAAACGAGAAUCAUCACUUGACAUUAAGUGGCAGCUGAAAGAUUGUUCUGCUUCCUUCACAUCUUUUUCUCUCUUCCCUAAUAAUCUAAUUCCCAACUUAAAGGAUCGAUAAUGUCAAGUUUCAACAAGGGUGUGGGAAAAGCAUUUUAAUUGAUGUCUAAAACGACAGUAUAAAAAUUGCAUUGUCAUGUAAUCACUCCCAGUCCAACCAAUCAAAAGCAAAUCAUGAAUGCUGAACAUACACAAUUUCAAGAACCAUAGCUCCAGUUUGUCUCAACUGUUGUAUCUCGAUGUUUGCUCUCUUGGCAGCAUCAUAAAAAAAACAAGAUAUAUUGAUUGUGUAUAUAUUUGAAAUCCUUUUAGAAAACAUAUUACAAAUAGUCCAAUGUUAAUGAAAACGUAAAUAAGAGGUUCUGCAAUAAGUUUAACAGUUGCACGAGGACACUAAUGCAGAGGCAAUCUGAUCCAAAUAUUCCCAUCGCCUGCCUAAAACCAGAUCCAGUAUGAGGCCCUAUUUAAGGAGUCAAGCCAUGCUCAUCAAUAAUAUCUCCUAAGUUUGCUUUCCUAGUUUACCACUAUUGUUAGAAUAUUAAUAACAAGGUCAGAUCUUUUGCUUUUCAAGAUACGUCAUGCAAGUGACUCAGCAUUACAUUCAAUUGGAAAACUGAGAUAAGCAUAGAGCUGAAUUGAUAGGAGGUAAAAUUACAAUAUACAAUGUGGAGCGCUUGAUAGAGAAUUUAAAUUUAGUUUCAUGGUGUGAUCAGGAGGUACCUUGCUUACACUGUCAGGACCAGAUUCAUAUGCAACUGGAGACUCUUCCUCUUUCUUCGCAUCAUCCUGUAAGAAAAUGAAAAUACAGAUACAACACUAUGUUAAUGUCAUCUGUGUAAGCUAUGAUAUAACCUCUCCAUAAAACUACGUUUGUGAAAGAAUAAAUCCCAUCUGUGAAGACCUCAUUCACCUCUUGUUCUUCAUUAUUUGAAACAUCUUCAUUUCCAGAAUUAUCAGUGGACUGUUCUCCCAUAUCCUAUCAGAAGCGAUAAAAUGUGAGAAACAAAAAAAAAAAAAAGGAAAAAACAUUUUUGCAGUUAAAGAGGAUCUUGAUCAUAAUCAUUCAGGGUUCACAGGCAAUGCUUGAUAUAAAGCAUUUUUAGAUAAAUUCCAAACACAGUAGGAAAUUCAGAGAAUAACAAUGACAAGGAUGCAUUAAAUAUCAUACAAAUACUCUUGCUCCUUAAAUAACACAUGAAUGUCCUCAAAAUUAUCAACAUACAUGAAAAUGUGUUUUGAUAGAUUUACAUGAACUAUUUAAAACAAUAAAAGGAAUCUAAGAAGAUGAACAGCGCUGAUCUAAUUCCAUUUUUUGGGAAAGUUUUGGAAAAAGGCAUUUAGACUGUUGGACAUUCUUCCCAGCUCACUAGUAUAUCCUACAGUUGAUGGUAUAAUAUUGAGCAUUGCCAGCGUGAUAAGAAAUUAGUCUCUCAAUAGCUAAUCCAUUAUAAUGUAGCGAUGGCCUUGCGGGGGCUUAUUUUGGCAUUGUUUGGAAGAAUGGGCAUUCCACAGAUGCGGCAGAGAUAAUGCUUGGAUAGCAGGGAGGUACGGUGGGAAAGCCGAAUGCUCAAUCCAUUUCAUUUCUGCAUGCCAGGAAUUUUCCCAACGCUAUUUUCUUUCUAAAUUCUACAGAAGAUAUUGAUGUGUUGGAGGAAGAGUAGUUUUGUUUGCUCCCAUUUACGUCCCAUAUACACAAGUUGCAUCCCUUUGCCACUUUUUUAUGAAUAUAUGCACAAACACAGAUUUACAUGAGCUACAUUUCAGCCAUCACUAAGAACCAGUUUAACCUGAUCUGAAGGAGAGUUCUCCAGGAGCCCAAUUUUAUCAUGGUUUUCACUUUCCAUUGGCUGUCCUUGGCUGGGAACUUCCUCCAUAGAUUUGCUUUUCUCCCUUUGAGCUUCCUCAGCUUCUUUCUUUUCCGUCUCUUCUUUUUCUUUCUGUAAGCGUUCUUUCUCCUCUGCUUUUUCUAUCUGUUCCUUAUGCUCUAUAUGGGUGAAGCAAAAAAUUCAGCGAUACAAAAAGUAAGCUUUACUAGAAAAAACUAAGAAAAAGACAAAAAAAAACAAAGAAAUAAAAUAACAAUAAGCAAAAGAAAACCAUCCAAAACAUCAUGUUGACUGUCAAUACACAAAAGUAAGGAAUAAGAAUAAAUAACAAGAAAUGAUUUGAUCAAUUAUGAGAUUAGUAACCGCGUAACGUGCAACAUUCUCACCUUCAGAACUGAAAGUGAAGUAGAUUUUGACCUUCAACAUGUUGGCAUUUUGAAGAAAUGUAAGAUCAAGAUUUUUAUACUUUCUUUGUAUUCAUGAAUACCAAUGUUAGUAAAUUGGAAAAUGGAAAGAAUCUAUUGAACAUUUGUCAUUUAUUUGUCAGUUCAGUGGAUGAAUGUAAACCGCUAGUAACAUUUAAAUUAUUUGCACUCUUCUACUACUAGGAACUCCUCCUUAGCUAUCUAGCAUAUAGGGUUGUCAUAUUUGUUUUGGAGGACUUAUAAAAUCUCAGGUUUUGGUAUUUUGAUGUUGACUCAUAGCUCAUGGAAUUCAAGGUCUGCUUAGAGAGUUGAGAUUUCACCUUGAUCAAAGUCUUAUGUCGGUCCAUCAUGGAAUUCAGAUCUGCAACUGGUUUAAAAGGUCAGAAGAACUCAAAGGAGUGUCACACCAAGGUUAAAGUUGCAUCGUAAUCCCAGAAAGAUUCGAAUGCUUCCCAAUAUUUUCUAAAACAUAAUUUGCAUGGGAUAGAAACCAUUGCACGGUAGAAUAUAGAAUAAUGUAUCCAAAACCAUAAAAUUUUCAACCUGUUCAAACACAUGGUAAUCUCUACAAGCCAAGAUCAGAUCAUUCCUAAAAUUAUGACGGGGUCUGUGUCCAGAGCUGAGUCUGGAUAUGUGCACCUAGAAGUGCUCUAAUAUCUAUGACUUGAAAAACUAAGAAAACACUUAAUAUAACUGCAUACUGACCUAUAAUAGAAUAUAAUAUAAGAAGCUACGAUCCUAUAACUCAAUUAUGCAAGGUCCCAAGUGGGAGCCCCUCAACAUCAAACCAUUUUCUGACAUGGCUAGCUUCUUUCAGUUCGUCUUGCACCUAGUAUGGAUUGCAUAACCCACAUAAGGCAUUUUUUAAGUACCGCGCACAUAUACAAAAACCGCCAUUGGAGAAUAUUAGUUCAAGGUUGGUACAAUGAACAAUUCCCCAUAAUGACUGAUUUCCACUUUUAAUCCAGCCCUCGAACAAAACUCAAAUAGACUCCAAAUGUGGUUGUCACCUUAACCAAAAAACUUAAAUGAGGACCAUAAAAAAAAAAAAUUGAUGAGGGUGAGCAAUGUAUGCACAUAAGACCAAAAAAUGAUACAUAACUCCUCCAGGGUGAAUGGAGCCUCAAAAAAUAUCACCGCUUGUGUGUGAUUUCUCAACAACAAAACCCCACACUGACAAUUCCACGUAUUCCCAAAUGAAGGCAUGAAAUAAGAACAAAGAUGUACUCCUAAACAGCACAAAACAUGAGGUCGAUCACUGACUACAUCCCUCAGGAUGCUAGCUUUUAGAAUCUCUAGCCAAGCGGGAUGUUUUUGAUUGUAGACCAUCAACUUCCUUUCACCAAAAUGCAGAUAAACAAUUUCAUUACAACUUCACACAGUCCUCAAACUAAAGAACAAUCAUCCAUAAAGGUGUAGUGGUGAUUGGUGAUUUACAAUAUCCAUAUUUAAUAGAAAAAAGUUAACCCAUUCUACAGUUGGAUACAAUAUAAUUGCAAAUGUGGCACAAGGGGUUCUUAAAUCACACAAGGGAAUCAAUCUUAAACCAAGUAUAUAAAAGCAUUUUUAAAGAGCACCACAAGACCCUAAGGAUGAGGAGGUUGUUAACCAAAUCCACCUGGUCCAAUCUGUAGGAUUAAUUAGUUCGUAAAUCACACAUCCUUGCACGACAUAAUUGAUUCAAAGGUUACUUGAGAACUUACCAUUAAAUCAUUGGUUUGGCGCCCCGUACAUGUGUAAAAUGUGGAACAUGGAUCAAGAAAUCUCUCAACAAAUGGGUGAAUUUGGAGCCAUUUCCUAUUGUCCAGUGCCACCAAAACUGUAAGCUCCAAGUCAUAAAUCAUUGUUAUUUUAAAGUUAUUCUGCAGUCUUCAAUUUUACGUAGCGUGCCAACUUUUGUAAAUAUCACUGAAUAUAGAUAAGAAAUGCAUAUUCGAAAACAGAAGUUUGAGGGACACCAAUUACUGGAUUUAUGUAGAUAAUGGCAAUGACAAUCAUAAUUGAACCCAGACAAACAAAUAAGGUUAGGGAACUGAAUCAACAAGAGCAUACCCUUAAGCUGUUGAACAAGCUCUUUAAGUAUUUUCUCCUCAUUUUUCAACUUGGACAACUCUGCCUCGUCUUUCGCUAUCGUUAGUUUUGCUUGUUCAAUCUCCUUCUUUCGCAAAGUUACUCCUUCCUGAUAAGUGCAAUCUUUUUCUUCAGCUUCUCUUGGCAAAUUUCCCAGCCUCCCAACAUGUAUUCGAGCACUUCACGUUACCAUUAUAAUCAUCAACCAUCACAGCAAUCUGCUACAUGGGGAAGCUAAAAAAUCAAAAUAUUGCAAGGCAAAAAACAUGAAAUGCACAAUAUGAUGAUAUUUGCAGUUAUAAAACUUAUUCAAAAGUUUGACAAAAUUUGUGAACCAAUAGGGGGAAACUUUUCAGUUUUCAACUUUUCACCAUUGUUAAUCUCAUUGCAAAAAGGAAACUUCACCCAGAUUGGUGCUGGAUGUGCAAGGCCUUUUGCAAUCAGAAGCAGUAGACCAACAUCCUUGUCCAUUAUAAAGUGAGUGGUGAAAAGUGGAACUCAUGCUGAAUAUGUUUAGGAGUAUCUUGGGCAUGGACGCAUGCAGGAUUUUAAUUUGGAUUAUAGAACCUACAAAUAACCAAACAUAAUAAUAUUACUAUGAUAACAGGUUAUUUUUAGAAUCUGGGAAAGUGUAUGCUCUCACCCCCCCACCCCUCCCCCGGCAGGGUCCCCAAUUAGAAACUUAGGGAAUGCUAAAAAUGCAUGCCCAUCGAUAUUUGGUGUGCUACCUAGAGACCAUGAUGUGUAUAUAGAUGUAUAUAAAAUAUAACAUAUUGGGAUUAAUUCUGAGGUAGGAAGGAUCAUUGCCAAUGCAUCUUCACGAAAAUCAUAUAUACCAAAAUUUUCAGCAGCUGUCCUGCUUAACAAGCAUCCGUCAAAUAUAUCAACAAAUAAUACACGCACAAAAAAGCGACUAAUCAGAGGUGAUUUAACUGAAAAGAAUGCAACUGAAAAAGAUUUUUCUUACCACAUAUACCAUCAUUAACUCUGGAAGAAUAUAUAGAAAGUGGAGCAUGGCCUGCAUUGCGGCAAUAGAACUUCCCAUUGGGGCAUGCUGAUGUUCCUGUAAGGCCAAGCACCACAACAAUAAGUCAAACAAACAAACAAAGAGCACAUAUAAAACUCAUACUUUGAAGGCAAAUAAAUAACUAUCAGAUAAACCGACAACCAGGAAAGAAAAAAAGAGUCAAAAUGGCACCAAAACCACAAAAUUAGAAAAAGGAAAAAGAAAAAGAGACCCUAUUUUCUUCCUAUUUUUUGAAGACCCACAUACUUUUUUGACAAGCAAAUGAAAUGCGACUAAAAAGUAGCGCAACAAAGAUUAUUUUGUAGUAAAAUAACAACACUAAGACAGUAUUUGGAUCAAGUAUUCUCCCUCCACGAAUCCUUGCUCCAAACACAGCCUAAAAAUGAAGGGGAUAAAUGAGGUCGGAAGGAGAAAGAGUAGACCGGGCUCAUCAGUGCCGUCAGGGCAAUCGCAGAAGUCAUCAUUCAGCUGAGAUUUGGUGAAUUUCAUGGAUCCAUCCCUGCAUUUGAUAGUUCCCGACGAUGAUGCCUUGUAAUAUAUCUCAUCUGCUACAUCCAUCCAUGUCAACAAGUUCAAAAAAAAUAAAUCAAAAUUCAACACGAUAUACAUAUGUAUAUGCAUAAGUAUAAUCAAAAAGGAGGGAAAAAGAAAAAGAAAAAGAAAAAGAAGGGAAAAACCAAACGCAAACCUUGGGAGCGAUUCCGCGUAUUUUGUCCUUUUGGAGGUGAACAGAAGCUGAUCUACUAGAUCAAUUUAUGCCAUUUACAUUUAUUUUUUUGAAUGAAGAGGAAAGUUAAUCUCCGCUUCAUCUUCUGACCAAUCCAAUUACCCUAUACUAAUUUAGUAGUUAUUCGAAAUGCUGAUGAUCAUAAAUCACAAUACACAAAUUCAAUUCUAUUCGCUUGGAUACGAUACGAUAUGAUUAUCAAGCACAUAUCCAAACAAAUUCGCAUCAGUGCUGAACAAUACAAAUAUUGUACUCGGGGGAAAAACGAAGCCAACUGGUGAGAGAGAGAGGCAGCUAAAAUCGACGCCCCACAAGAUCAAAGGUUUUUAGCGUGGGAGUCUGAGGGAUGAGACGGCGAUUCGCACAAAGUUAGAAACGACGACGUCAAUAUAUUACGUUUUGUCAACGACGUCGUCUCAACUUUUUUUUUUCUUUCUUUCUUUCUUUUUUGGGUAAAUUUCAUUUACACAGUUUCCAUAAUAACUUUUUCUAUAAUUUUUGAAAAUCUCUUUUCUUUUUAAAAUUCUUAUUAAAAUUCUUACAAAACUAAAUAUUUUUUAAAAAUAAUAAAAUUACGGACUUUCAUAUUUUUUUCUCAACACAUUUUUAAUUUAUUAUUUUCUUUUGUAAUAAAUACUAAUUUUUUUUUUGAUAAAUGACACUGACCUCACCUGAGGUUUAUGACAAUGACAGGAACUAACCUCAGGUUUUGAAAAUAACAAUAACCUCCCUUAUAAGUAAUAAUUUAGUUGUCGUUAUUAGUUUUUCCCUUCUGGUAGUAUACCGUUACUUACAUUGACAGAAAUUGCUGAGAUGAGAUAACUAAAUUCAUACAAUACCCAUUUUACCCUUAAGAAUUUGGUUCUUCUAAUGUUAUGUAAAAAUGUCCAUAAAACUAGCCACCUAAGAUAGAAUUCUCCACUAGAUAUCCGUUGCACUCUUUUCUUUCCUUGUGCCAAUUCUAUUUUUAAGAAAUUUUGUUUUUCUCUUUCUUUUUUUUUAAUCUCCAUCCUUAUUCAUAUUUUUUUUACAUAUGCACCAUAAUUUGUGCACUACAGCUCACCUUGUAAUACUAACACAACUCUUUAAGCUAGCUUGUUUUUAGCUAAUUUAAUUGUCAUGUUUUUAAAAAAUUUCACUAUUAAUGAAAAUUUUAUACUUUUUCAUACGAGAAAAUUUGGUAACAUAAAAAUAUUAUUCAAAUUUAAAAAACAAUUAUACUAUUGGCAAGAAAUUAAACUUAUAUGUUGAAUAAAAAUAUUUUUUUUUACUUUAAACUUUUGUUCUAAUUAGAUAAAAAAAAUUACAUUUUAGAAUUCUCUCGUAAACAAGAAUUGAAAAAAUAUAAAAUUUUGAACGAUUAAAAAAGUUUACUAAAUAAAAUAAAUCAAAAUCAAAUAAACUAAAUUUAACUAGAAAAAACUAACCCAAACAAGCCGCAAUCCAACUCUCUCAUACUUAUAUGACGUGCAAAAAUAAACCAAUUUAAUAAUUAAUCCUAGAAAAAUUACUACCAAGUUUAGUGCCAUUUUCUAACAUGAUAACAUCCAUACACAUGGCCAUGGGCCCAUUACCCUUCCCACUCUCUCUUUCACUCUCACUCAUCAGUUGGAAAAUUCACAACGUAACCUAGCCCAAGCCCAAGCCCAAGCCCAAGCCCCUACACCUGCAAUGUUCUAACUCUUGCUCAAACACAAAAAAAUUCGAUUUCUCUUUCCACUUUGGUCUUCCGAAAUCCAAUUACGUCAUGAGGCCUGAACAAGAAACCCUCUCACCCAAUUGAAUGAAGAAAUUUGUCAGAAAAGUUAAAUAAAACCUAAUCAAUAAACCCUAGGAAAAAUUAUUCAACAAGGAACCCGCCCACCAACUACCAUCGUCGUUGAGCACCACUACACUAAAUAAUUGACAAUGGUGGGGCCGGUGUACUGUGGGAAUUGGAUUUGGUGGUAGGGUUUUGUGAUUUGAAGAGAGAUUGAGGUGGUGAUAAUUGGUGGUUUUAGCAUGCUUGAAUGGAGGGGGUUGGCUGUUAGCACUCUGCGGGUGACCGGAGAAGAAUGGCUAUGGUAGCCGACUGCAUGGGCUUCUCUCUUCAUCCUUUGGUUCCCUCUCUUUAUCUUCUAUUGUAUUUGACAUUUUUCAAACAAGGCUUUAUUGUUGUUGCCUAUACAAAAAAGACACAAAGAUCAUUUGUACAGAUUUCAUAAGGGUAGAAACUUAAAAUUAAGACUUCUGUUAACGGAGAGGUUAGUGUCAUUUUCAAAACUUGAGGAGAUGUUAUCAGAGUGCUUGCAAUAAUCUCCGUUAUAAUUAUGUUCCUACUUCCAAAAAUGGCCACUUUAGCUAGCAUUCAAAGAUGGCCACAAAUUCAAAACAAUUUUCUUCCUACCUUAUACACAAAAAGGUUGCUUUCGCAAUCACCAAUUUCAUGUUGAAUGAGAGGUUGUCUGAUAUCCCUAAGUUUAAAAAUAUUUUUGAAUUACUCAUAUACCACAAAACAUAUACUUGCUUUAUUUCGUAACAUAAAAGGAAAAAAAAAAAAGAAAAGAAAAGAAUAAGAUAAAAUAGCGAUCCUUUCGUAUCCGAAUUUGAUUUCAAGUUGUGACAAAUAUUAGUUAGAUGCCCAAGCUCUUCAUUCCGAAUGCAAACCCAUGCAGGGAAACACACAAACAAUGGAGUAGUCCCUAAACUGUUCAAUGUUAGCUUAGCUGCUUGAUGACUUCACCACCUUCUGUAAAGAUCGAUCCGUCCACAACAGAAUCAAAAGGUGGGAAAACUUUGAAGCUAACCAAGUGGAGUAUUUAAAAUCAUACAAGAAACAAGCCCAACCUCGACAGCAUAGUUAGCAGCAAGCAGGUAAAAACAAUGAGUACGUACACAGAAAACUUCUGAUUGAUUUAAGUAAUUCAAGACAUAGAUAGGGCUUCAAGGAAUACAGUGGAAGGGGGGGUCUCGGACCCCAAGGAACAUGACCAAAAGAAAGAGAGAGAUUACAGACUGCAGAAUGAAGCACAAAUAUCAGGAGAAGAAUAUAUCAGAUAGGUCCAAUUUGACUUGGGUUAGUGAAAAACUAAACCUAAAUAGUAACUCUGAUGAUCAUAGCAAAUCUCCAUAUUCCAAACAGCAUGACUUGCAUGGUUUUAUGCGGCACUAAGGAGGAGAUCAGAACUAGAUGAUAGGAUCUACUAUCCUGUUGCAGCCAAAUAUCAUUCAGAAUGAAUGCAUAAAUCAAUUACAGGUCCAUGACAACUAAGAAUUAAGUGAAUUCAUUUUAAACUGGCAUCAGAUCUUAUUAUUCAGAGCUGUAAGGCAUGCAAGGACAGAUAUAGGACAUACAAUAAAAAACAGGCGCCCGAAAUCAAACCUACUUUUAAACAAAGAAUAAAAUAAAAUAAAAAAUCAAAUCUAUAGUGGCUAGGAACAGGACAGGAAUUCCUCUUUGUAUGAACAUAGCUUACUGAAAAAGUGGUUAAAGAGACUUCCUAUAACGCCACAUGAAUUCUGUGUUAAAAACUUGGAAGGUUGAAAUAACAAGAGAAAAUGAUACUAGUGGAAGCUCUGAUCAAACUUCUUAAAUAGUAAUAUUAGAAAACGAAUGGGCAACGCCUUAUGAUAAGUGCUGUGGUGCGAAACAGUGGAUUAAAUCUGGUCCACAGCAAACUCGUUUAGUAGUUUGAACCGCCAGCAUAGCUUAAAACAGAGAUCAAAUUACCACAAGAAUUUACAAAGCCAACAUCCUGGUAAAAUCUAGAGCAAUCCGAGAGGAUGCCAGUACAAGCACACUUCAAUUUCCCAAGUCAGUUUCUAAACAACAAUUAAUGCAUCUUCAUCCUAAAUUCCUAACAUUGCAAUGUCAAACGUCAAUAUGAGACAACCCAUUCAUAUUUCCCUCAGCUUCCUAAUAAGAAGCGCCGACACGUCUAAGAAUUGUUAGACAUGCCAACAAGUUGCGUUGUUUAUAGAAUUUUCAGGAGCAGACAACCCUUCGGGCACUAGGGAGACGAGCUUUUACUGUGGGGACAUACAUGGAAUGCAUACGAAUUUUCGUACAAGUUUGAAAAAAGUAACUUGCAUGUGAAUUUCUACUUGUAAAUCCCCUUUCCCUACAAGUUUUUUAAGUGUAAAACCCUAAAGCCUAAAACAUUCAGUUUGCUUGGAAUACAGCUUGUUAAGAAAGGGUAUUAGGUGUUUUUCGUUCGCACUUGUUUUUCAUCAUAGCAAAUUUGCAAAUGAUGUCUUAUAUAAAUGUGCUAGUUUUUUGGUCCCAUUCCUGCUGCGAAGUAUGAUCAUUUGAAAAUUGCACAGUCAGCGUGUUAAAAUUGCAGAAUGUUCCCAUAUCACAAGUCCCAUUUCAAUUGGUUAUAAUGUAAAGUAAGAGCCAUACCUAUAUCAAAAUAAUUAACCUCUAAUGUCAGCCAUAAAAAAAAGGGAGAAAUAUGAUAAGUUAUUUUGUUAUUGCAUGCGCAUGAGAAAUAAUUUAUCAACAAGAAUCUCACAAAGAGGUAAUAGCAACAUUAUGAAAACAAAGUUGCCACUUUGACUCUCAGUUCGUAGUCGUAUUUUUAUGUCACUCAUGCCUCAAGCCAUCUGUGCCUAAAGAUGAGAUAAUAAGAUCACCAAUGAUUCUUCCAGUUGGAAAAUGUGUAACCAAAUCUGCUAAUAGCAAUCAUUUCCAACAAAAAUCAACUUACCAAGCAACAACUUCAGUCCUAUUGAACCAUUACUUCAAACAAAGCAGUUGGACUUUCUUAAGACUACCCAAGCUUCUCACCUCAAGUCCAACAGUAAUAGAAGGAUGAAAGGAACACUUGCAGUUUGCACCAAACAGGUUGAAUACAAUCAGUGAUUGUGAAUCGUAUAUAUCACCCAUGGCAAAAGAUUCAUGCAAUAGACAAGAGAGAAACUAAGCAGAGCUCCUUAGAAAAUUUAAUCAGCGUAAUCAGCAGUAGAUUAGAAGAAUAAGAUUGCUCCUGAAAUGUGAUUAUUACUAUAUUUAGUGGAUGUUCACUUAUUCUGUAAACUCAAGAGUCAAGAGACAGUUUCGUGAUAUCAACAAGUACCUCAAACUUUUCUUGUGAAGGAAAUUAAAAAAACACAAGGGGAGGGGGAGGAAAACCUAGUUUAUUAUUGAUUCUGCAGGACCUCUUAGGGACAAAAAAAAAAAAAGACAAGGAGAAAGGAAGGGAGAAAAAAGGGAUGAGAACGAUGAGAAAAGUACGCCGUGGAGAGGUGCCAUUCUUUAACUCUGCCUUCCAAUUCCUUGAUCCUCCCCAAGCUCCAAUGGUUCACCCCGUAAGCAGAUGAUGGGCAUCGGAAGCAAGUACUUCACACACUCUUCUGUUCAAGAGGGAUAUCGAACUCAACUGCCUUACGCAGCCCCUUGGCAGUAAGGCUUCCCGCAUUUUAUUGAUUGAUAUACAGGAAAUUCCCAUAUCGCCAAUUGUAGCAAUAUAAGGUGCAUUGAAAAACAAUCAAAACCGACACAACCAAAAAACAGGCGCAUUACGUUACCACCUCCACAAGGAGAUCACAAAUUGUAGGAAGAAACAAGAAACUUCAUGGACGACAAUUUUCAGGAUGGAACGGUCAAAGAAGCCCACUGCUUCCAAGUACCAAAAGCAACAGAACUACAUCAACAGAGGCUAACGGGACUGCUCGCAAAAAGGGUGAGCUAAAGUAUUCGUUUGCUCUCUUGGUUGCGCCACGAGAGUGAGAUGUGGCGACGAAUUGACACAUGUUUGAUGCUGCUCGAAAAGCUUUGCAAAAACUCGAUAUCAACUACUGGCAGUCAACCAUGGAAGGUCUCAUUAUAUUCGGAUGAGUAUUCGGCUUGCUGUUGUUCCAGAUAAUGAAAAAAAAAAUAGGUUGAUCCCAAUCAGUUCAAUAUAUCUAUAAGCCUAUAAUGUUUAAAUCAUAUCCAAGAUUCUAUUUCAAUUCAGCAGAUCUGAAAACAGGAUUGGGGAUUUCAAUCAACUGACGAAAAUCACCAAGACAAACCCCCAGGUUUAGCAUAGGAACGUCGAAUGAGGAUAAGGGAAUUUCAGUAGGACGUUAGGUUCAUCCAUCCUACCCAACCAGCGAACAAAUCAAUUCCUAAUUUAGGAACUAAAUUGAGAAGUGACGAACUAGAUCAAAGGAUUUUAGCAUUUCGUUCGGAACCUGCAGAAAUCAAGCAAUGAAAUCACGAAAAUCCCUUAAAUGACAGCAAUUUUUGGCAUAAACGAAUCGAUUGAGUUCCCAAUCGAUCGAUCCAGAACUACCGAGAUAGGCAAAUCAAUGUGAAAACUUGAAAACCGGACUGCGAAGAACUAAUCAAUUAAGCAGUUAGAAGAUCAAGCAGUGCGAACUAACCAAUUUAGCUCUAAUCGGUCGACGAUCCAUCUAAAUUCAGAAAUGAUUCGAGGAAGUAGUAAUUAAAUUAAGCUGUAUUCGAAUAGGAUCCACGAUCGAGUAUAAAUCCUGAAAUUGGAAAGAACAGACUCAAUUGAUUUCUGAUGACGGAGAACUCAGAAGCUGAUAUAGGGAGGCGGAUUGGGGGAGGAGAGAGGAGAAACGUAAACGAUGGGGGAAAUGAAAGAUAUUCACCGUAACGGAAAGGGGGUAGACGUCUAUUGUGAUUCUACAGCACGAUAUUAUAUUAAAGGACAACGUGUGGGCCGUUUGUUGAAUUCGGGAGGAUAGUUUAGUUCUGAAGCAGAUCGGCCGAUUCAACGCCAUCAGACAAGGACCUGAACGGCUCCGUCGCCUCACCGACCACGUUUCUACCCAACUCCUCUCUCUCUCUCUCUCUCUCUUAUGAGUAAGUUAUGCGAUUCCGUUUUCUGUAAUUUUUACUGAAAGGAGAAAAUAUUUCAGGGAGACGACCCCCUCUGUAGAAUCCCUGGGCAGUCAUUUCCCUAUCGUUUGCUUCCACUGAUUUUGUUCGAGAUUGAUCUAGAAUUUUAGGUAAGGAGGCUAAAGUAUAAUUAAUAUAUCUUAGAAUGUGAAAGUAAAAAAAUAAUAAUAAUUUAAAAUAAAAUUUAUAAUUUUUUUAAAGUGAGUGUACUGUAAUCCUGCUAAUCAAAGAUAUUUAGGUCAGGAUUUUUUUUAUUUCUUAUAUAGUCAUCUACUCAUCUACUUUCUACGCCCCUUUCACCUAGUUUUUAUCACUCUUCUUUGUACAUCCCUCACUUAACUCUAUUAUCCAUCUAAUUUCUCACUACACACUCCAACAUUUAUUUUUACCAAUACCUUAGUCUAUAAAUAAGAUAAAUUGAACUCCGAAGAUUCAAUUUCUCCUUAGUAAAUUCUACCAUGAGAGAGAAAGAAGGAGAAGAGUAGAGAGACAAAGAAGAAGACUAAGGGAGAGAGAGAUGGAGAAGAUUAGAGAGAGAGAAAAAUGAGGAGGAAGAAGGCUCCACCUACCUCACCCACACUUGUACUUGUAUUCUCAUAUUCUAAUUUCUAGGCUUUUAGGUAAAAAUACUUGAACUUGAACUUUACUCUAUGCUCCCUUUCUUACUUAUUUUUAAUCUCUCAAGAAUAGGAUGCAUGCUAGAUGAUUAUGAGCUUAAUUUGAGUUUAUAUGGUUAAUUUUCAUGCUAUAUUGUGUUUCUAUCCAUUUCUUUUGUAUAUGCUACUUUUAGGCUUAUAUAUGAAUAUGCAUAGACUGAUAUUGUUUGCUAUGAUCAUCCAUCUAUGUGUUAGAAGCAUGCUUGCAGUUUGCAUGUAAGUUUUAUAGCCUUAUAUGGUAUGUACACUUCAUGUAUGCAAAACUGUCAAAACUCCACUAUUUUUUUUCUCAUAUUGUACAUUUCAAAAUAAAUAUCAAAUCUGAACUAUUUCUCAUGAUCUUUGAAUUGAGUCUUGCUUUAUAUCUCUAUUGCAUGUGUGAAUUUUCGUAGAGUUUAUAGAGUCCAUUUGGUAUUUUAUUUUUUAUAUUUUUCACAUCAUUGUUAAAGUCAUACCAGAAUCUGUUGCAAACAACUUAAUAUCACCAUUUAUUCUAUUAAACUAAUUUUUAAGUUAAAAUACUUCUAAACAUUAGAUACAUGUGUUAUAUUUCAUAUAAAAUUAGUUUGAAGUAUUUUGAGUAAUAAACGAGUGAGAUAUGAUAUUUUUUGUAAAUUAUGUCAGAUUUGGAUAUCAUAAGGGUAUUUUUGAUAUUUAUUUUAAAAGUUAUUUUCAUAAGUGGUUAUUGGAAAAAAAACCUUAUCUAAUUAUUAAACACUUAUGUAUAGUUUAUAAUUUUUUAAUAAAUCUAAGUAUGAUUUUUCAUUUUUUAUUUGAAGAUGUACCUUACUAAAAAUUUAGUAUAGAUUUAUAAAGUUGCGCUAGUUAGUGAUUUUUUUGUUUCUUAGGCCCUAUACUUGUGAUGUUAUUGCAUCCAUGUGAUUUAGUGAUUACUUGUCACGACCCGACUCAUUAUACACUGGGUCCCACCAAUAAUACAGGUGUCACGUGACCGGCCAGUGAACUCCAUCUCAAUAAGGCCUUUCAACCGAUUCAGUUUAGGGAUUUACUAACAUAUUCAACAUACAUUGCUUGAAUGAAAUAAGCGGAAGAUCCAAAUAAAAACAGAGCUGACGUGUUCAAUAUAAAACUAUUGUCAUGGUUUCGAUUUACAAAAACCCAACACGGUUCUGCCCACAAACCGUACAACCGUAAACUACUACUGUAUCAGUUUUUUAACUAUACAAUUCCAACUAUUACAGAGUUCAAAACAUAAAAGUUCUUAUACAUAUCAGGACAGUACAGGACUAUCAAAAAACUCGGUUACACUAAGGGCACCUGACCCUCAGUCGCGCAUCCCUCAUUUCAUCACAUGAAAUGAGUUACGUCGACAACGUCUUAAGCCACUAGGCUAUGUGAGUCAGGUUAUAUAAAAACAUACAUGCACCCAUGAAGAAUAUUAUGAAAAUCAGGUUCAUUUAACAAACCAAAAAAACUAGAAAAUGAAACCACUUGUGUCAAUCCAUGGCUCCCCUAGGCCAUCCUUGACUCUCAGUCAAGAUACAUAUAAAAUCAAUCCCUCGCGGAAAAUUCAUGGUCAGGUACGGCAACUAUUACAUCAAGUUUUACAUUUCAUUACGAUUGACAAUUUGCGCACACAACGUACACGAACACCAGAACAUAGGGAGCGGAACAAUAAAACCUUUGGUAUGAAUUCAUCCCACAAUCAUCUGGUCAUGAUCUCCUUAUUACAUCAACCACCGCUAUAUUCUCCCCCUAGUGCACGGGGCAUCGUAUGAAACUAUGUGUCGACUUCAACACAUACAUUUCGCAAAUUAUCAUUUUCAUAAUGUUCAUGGUAUAUCAAAACAAGCAUACUUUUAACCAUAAAACAAUCAGUUUAAACACAAGAAAUGCUUCAGAACAUUAAAACAGUACUUGUAUGCUAUGUACUACUAACAAGAUAAUCGAGAAUAUGCUCAAUUUUUCUUUCACACACGCAAGCGAACGUUCUGAAUACACGUUCCUGGAUUUGGGUCCUCGUUUAAUAUUUUUCGAAUGUAAGAUUAAUAUCCUCCUUGCGGCAAAAAUUUAACAAUUCGAAUUUUCUUUGCCAAACAGUUUAAAAAUUUUCCAAAAACAGCCAUUCGGUAAUUUAUUUUAUAAAACUCAUCAUAUAAUUGACCUCCGAAUUAAUAAGAAUAUACUAGACACAUUUAGUACUUACAAUAAAAAUAUCAUAAAAAUUUUAAGUUGGAUAACUAUUUUCAAAAUUCGCCAAAACUUCCCCAGUUCUUGUUUAGAUUUUCAGUGACAGUAGCUCAGUUAUAAAAUUAUUCUACCUAUCGAAACCAUUUUAGAAAUUCGAUGAAAUGAAAUAUACAAUAACUAGACAUAUUUAAUUGUAUACAUAUAAAAUUUUCAUAAUUUUUCUAACAGGAGUAACUAUUUUUUUACAAAAUUCGUAAAAUUUUCUAUUUCAACUUUAAUUCCAGUUUCGACAGUCAGUUUGCAGGUCGAUUUUGGAUCAUUUAAGUUUGGAAUUUCACAAACUGUUGUAAAUUAAAGUUUUUAGAUAAUUUCAAUAUCUUUCUAAACUAAAUUUAAACAAGGAAUUCGGAAUCGUAUGAAAAAAGUUAGAAUCAAAAACCGAGGCUUGUGUGUCAGUGACAAAAACAAAUUCCGAGUAGUCCAAAUUUUAAAUUUUAAAAUUUCGUAUAAAUGCCUAAAUUUUGAGGUAUUUAGCGAGUUUAAAAUGAACUAGCUCGGUGUUAUAUAAUAAGACUUAAAGAAAUAAAUAAGAUUAAAUUUGAAAUUACCGGCGAAAAACAAUAACCGGCCCCUUAGUGUUUUCUCUCACCUUUUCUUUCUUCCUAUUUCUCUUACUUUCCUUUCUUUCUAUGUUUCUGUUUGCGUGGGAUGGAGAUGGAAGAGCUGCUGGCAUCUUUUAUACUUUGAAGUUUGAUAUUUAUGUUUUUGGCCUUAUUAGGCUUCUUCACAUGCACCCCAACACACAAUGCAUGCCGCACACACACACGGACAAAGACACCCAUCCUCCCAUGCGUGGUGACACGCGUCACCACGUGUCUCCAUGUCCGCACCCCAUCGUGUCCCACCACGUGUUUGAAUAUCGGUCCCCAAAAAAAAAUUUUUUUUCUUUCAAAUUUUAAACUCGACGACAAAUAUAGUUAUAUUUAAAUUAUGUAAUAUUUAUUUUUGCGGUUCGGAGUAUUACAUUACUAGAUGACAUUGGAAUGUUAAUAUCGACGUAUGCUCCAUAAGUCUCGAAUAUGUAUAUUAUGACGUUUGCUUUUUAUUCAUAAACAUAGGGUUUCACCAGAGUUGGUAUGUGGUUGCGAUCACCUAGCUCUAGACUUUAACUAAGUAAAAUAGUUUGAGAUGAUGAGAUCAUGAUGAAAUGAGUAUUUAGGUUGUGUCUCUAGUGGAAAGUCUUGCGCAAGUAGUCUACACGCCCUCGUGAGUUGGCAUGAGCCGAUAAUUUGGGACUUAUUUGAUAUUAUUUGAUUUUCGAACUAGUAAGGUUGAUUCCAGUCUGAUCCCCUUGUGGCGGACUAGGGAUGAUACCAUUUGGGUAUUUAACGCUAUGCGAGGGGCAUCCUUUAGUAUUUUGAGAUUUUACUUUAGUCACUCUAGGGUUCUCCCCAUGGAGUACCACUCCUAAUCCAAAGCGCUACUAUAUUAAAUAAUGGAAUCGUCUUUCUAUCAUUGUUUUGCAUCUGCACGCUACUAUAUUAUUUUUUUGUAUGUGUUGUUGUUGCUUUGGAGUUGUUGAGUUGAGUUUCGUAGGUUUUUGUUUUUGUAGUGUGCUUCGCAGGUCAUAGCAUUUUAUGCUAGGUUUAGAUGAGGACGAUGAAGCCAGAAGGUGAUGCUGCUGCUGAUGACUUUGUGGCUUAAGGCUUGGUCUUUUGUUAACUUUAUUGUGGUUAUUGGUUCUGUAAUAUUAUGAAACCUAUUUUUGUACUUGGUUCUAUAAUUACUUUUAUAUUAUAUUGUUUUUAGUUAUUUGAUCUUCCAAAAUUUCGGUGCGUCACAUGUUUUGUUAAAUAAGCCGUUGAAUAAUCAAGUUUUGUUGCCUUCCACCCCUCAAGUUAUACAGCCUUUGCCAACGAUCUGGGAAGAGAGCUCUGGUGUGACGAGGGCAAGGCGCCGCAUGAUAGGAGUUGCAUGGGGGUGGUGAAAUUGUACAGUCGACUACAACUCUUGCUUUAGAUUUGUUUUGAUUUAGACGGGGAAAGACAGGGAGGGGCGUCAAAAGCAGAAAAUAACCAAGGACAAUUUGGCUAGGCAAAAAAUAGACGACAACGCAUGCUUUGCCUUUGCAAUCGGGAGUCCCUAAGUCACCGAUUCGUAAAGCGUGAGCGUGAGCGCGGGCGAAAACGGGAGAGCAUCCAAUUUUAAAAGCUCUACUAUUGAGAGCGUCGUGAGAGCGUUCAUUACAUAAUAAAAAUAUAUGUAUAUAUAAAUUUAUUUAUAACACAAAAAAUAUAUUAUAUUACUUUUAGUGAAUUAAUAAUAAAUAUAUUUACAAUUAACUAAUUGAAUUAUAGAUGCAAUGUUUAUAUACUUUUAUACUAUAAGUAUUUAUUUUAGAUAUGAUCGGUGACAUUUAUUUACAUGCAAUGUUGUGGGCUUACAGAGAACAAAUUUGGGUUCAAAUAGCAUCACCCAGAAAACCACUUAAAACCAAAAAUAAAAAAAUAACUCGUUUCCCUUUUUAUAAAAGGAAAAUAAUUGUUUUAAAUUGGCUCUCUCUCUCUCGAUACUUCUCUGUUGUCUCCGUUCUCCUUGCGUCUUCGUCGUCGCCUCCUCUCGCAGAUCACCCAUCGUCAAAUCACCACAAUCUAAGCAAAAAGAUAUGAGUAACCAAGCUGAAUCCUCCGACUCGUGAGUCGUGAGUGCUUCGACUGCGAAAGUCAUCUUAACGAUUCGAGAUUUGGGUUUGACUGUGGAAUUUUUUCAGGAAAGGGGUGAAGAAGGACUUCUCGACGGCGAUCUUAGAGCCCUAGAAGUCGCCCAAUCGGCUCGUCGUCGACAAGGCCGUCAACGAUAACUUUACUCAAAUUCGUUUGUAGUACGCGAAUUGAGUUAUUGUAAUUCGCGAAUUUUGUACGAAUUACAUCCUAAUUCGUUAAUUCGCGCUCGAAAGCGCAGUUCGUAGGCCUCAUCAGGCGGAUUAUGUGACUGAUUCGGGACCAGUAGGAGGAGGAUUCAAAGUUAAAAAAAAAUUCAACUGCGGUGUUUGGUUUUUGUUUUUAUUUUCUUUACUAAAUGAUUGUCGAUGAAAUAGGAAACAAAUAAAAAAAAAUUUUGAUUUUUACAUUCUAUUUCUUAUAUUUUAAAAUUUAUUUUUACUAAAUAAAAUUAUUAAAAAUAAUUUUUUUAUAUUGAAUUUUGAGAGUAUUUUUAUAAUUUUAUAUAAUAAAAAUAAAAUUUGCAGUGUGAAAUAUAAAAAAAGGAGCGUAGAAAUCAAAACAAAAAAAAAGAAGAGAUUUUCAUGUAAAAUUUAUGCCGAUGUUUAUUCAUAGACACGUAAAUGAAAAACAAUAUGAAAAGAAAACGGAAUAAUGAAAGCUUUGGAAUGCAUACGUCGUCGUAGCAAUGAAAUAUCCAAGAUAAGAGAGAGAGAGGGGUCCAGACCAGAGAGAGCCACCGGUUUUAAGAGCUCACAAAAAAAAUGGAGGCAACCAGCUCUUGGCGGAGGCCGUAUGUUCAUAGACGACACUUGAUCUUACAAGAGUUCGUUUCGAAUUCUUCUCCUCCUGGAAGAUUCCGAUGGGUGGGUUUCCUCCCUCAAAGACGCUCAUUUCCCCGAAGCCCCACACUUCGUGUUUCCACUCUUGCCCUCGAGGAACUCAUGGAAAACCCUCCCCAAGCUCUCGCAUCGUCUCCCAAAGAUUCGUUGCCCAAAAUCGACAAGAGUGGCAGGUUUUGCAGCCCCAGAGCCGCCCGAGAACUCGCUCUGUAUCUCUCUCUCUCUCUCUCUCAUUGCCCCGUUUUCCCCCAUUCCCCGCCUCCCUUUCUAGAAAUUCAGGGCAUCUCCAAUUCUUCACCCCAUAUUUCGUCAACUUAAAAUUAAAUUUGAUCUCCAUGUUUCGUUCACUUUUACUCAAAUUGGAAGAAAUUUUAAAAAGAGCAAGCAUUGGAGGGAGUCUAAUUUCGUAAAAAAUGGAGAGGGUUUAGGGAUAAGUUGGGAAUUUUGUGAGAAGAUUUUAGGAGGAAAAAAAAGAUGGAGAGAGUAAGGAUUAAAAUGCACCCUAUCAAUUCAAGAUUUUCACCAAAAAUUGACUCAAAUUUCAUGAAAGAAAAGAGAGAGAGAGAGAGGAUUGUAGAUGGCCUAACCCUGUGGUGAAUUAAGCUUCUGGGAUAUGUAUGGAAUUUUUUAAAAAACAUUUGAUGAAAUAUCUAAAAGAGUAAGGAUUGGAGCAUUUCUUUCUUUCAAAAAAAAUGGUUAAAGUGACAUUUUGGAUUGGAGAUGGCCUUCUAUACAUAUGUAUAUGUGUGCAAAGAGGGUCCUAUUUUGUGUUAAAUUUGGUCAAAUUCGAUGUCAGGUUAAUUACUUAUGCGGCCUGUUUAGAGGGUUCUGAUCCAGUUCGGCUAUUCGAGAAGCGAAUGAAUGCCCGAAGAGGUCACACAAUGCCUAUGCUUUUGUCGCAAUUUCAAUUAUUGGUAGCUAUAUGGAAUUAACGUUUUGUUUUCUAAACUGCAUUUGAGUGUAUUUGAAGUGGAUGGUUAUUUGAUUGCAGAACCUGGAUACGAGUUUGACAAGACAUUGUUAACGAAAUACAAUCACAUGAGCUUCGGAGGUCCACCUGUCACAGUAGAGACAGUUGAAGAAGCCGAUGAGCUCAUGCGCAAUGAGGACAAGGAAUCUGCAAUUGGUAAACAUCCAAAGUUCCAAUACUCAUAUUUUUUGUUAAGUGUACCAAGGCUUCUCUUUUACCAAUUGGAUAUACUUAUACUUGGAAAUGGUUAUGAACUGUUAAGUGGUAAAUAAUAUAUUUAGUUCAUGUACUUUUACAUUUAGAAAUCAUGCUAUCGAGUUCAUACACUUUCAAUAACUUCUGUGGAUCCCUUUUCAUUUAGAUAUCUCCAGGUCCAUCUUAUUUCUACUAUAUGCAUUUUAGAAGAAAUUAUAACGUUAUUGAAUUUUCUAUUUCUCAAGUUUGAUGUUUUGUUACAGUGGUUCAUGCAUUUGUGAUGCUCUUGUGAAUCUUGACCACACUGUGGUCGCUAUACUUGUCCUUCAAUUUUGCUUGAUGUGUACAUUAUAGUUCUGAGAAUAGUUUCACUAUAUUCUUUGCAUUAUUUAUUGAUGUCUGUGUAAUAAACAUAUACCUUGGACCAUCACGAGAUUUUGAAACUGGAAUUAGUAGACACUAGGUGGAAUAAGUAUAACCUUGCAUAUGUGCAGCGGCAUAGUGUGAUGUGCCAUUUAGUUGCAAAGUUAUGGAUUUGCAUCACUGAAUGAAGCAACUCAUUCGACAAUAACUCCUGGAACAACAUAUUUUUGCAAAGUGUUGCACUGUGACCUUAUGCUCCUUUGGUAAUGGUUCUGCCAGGGAUGGAGCGUGUUGGAACAAAACAUUUAGGGCCUGUUUAGCUGGAGGAUAAGGGGGGCGCAUAACUUUUCCCCCAGAUAACUUUUUCUAUCCGGCGUUCGGAUGGUGAAAACCCGCCCGGAUAACUUUUCUCCCCUGAUAACUUUUCCCCCAGCGGAAGGAUAGAGGUGGAUAAUUUAUGGGUGGCCUUCACCCUAGUUAAAAGUUAUCCGGGAGGAUAAGGGUGGGGGAUAAGGAAGAAAAUAUAUAUAAAAAAACAAAAUGUAAAAUAUCUAGAUAUUAAAAAUAUAUUUAUACAUAUAUAUACAUAUAUAAAUAUAUAAUAUAAAGAUAUUCAUACAUAAUAUAGAUAGAUAGAUAGAUAGAUAGAUAGAUAGAUAGAUAGAUAUGUAUAUAUAUAUUUUUAAUAUCUAGAUAUUUUACAUUUUGUUUCUCUCUCUAUAUUUUCUUCCUUCUCCCCACCCUUAUCCAUCCAUUCUAAAAAGUAUCCAAACAAAGUUAAAAGUUAUCCCCCUCCAAAAGUUAUCCCCCUCUAAAACUUAUCCCCUGAUACUAUCCGGCAGCCAAACGAUUAGGUAAGGGGCUCCUGGAAUUUAUGCAAAGUGUUGGUUUCCUGUUGUUCCUCAAAAGUUAUCCUUUUGUAUUAAUGGAUGAAAGAUCACUGUACUAAGUCAAACUGAACAAAUGUUUAAGCUUGAACAUAAAACUUUGCACAAAUUAACUUAUGUUUAAUGCUGAACAUUCUUGGGUAUUGUAGCUUUAGCUGAUGUGAGCUCAUGAAUUUUGGCAUUGACAAGCCAUGAGACUUUUAGGUGGUAGGAAACCUUGUUUUAUCCCUGGGAUGUACAUAAAUAGAGUCAUUAUUGACUUCAACUCUUAAUGAAUUUUCUUGGAUUCUUAUAGUCCUUAAAAAGUCCCCUAGAGGACACCCAGCAGCUAUGUCUCAUUAUCCCAAUAAAGAAGCUCAAUUUUGAAUCUCCCAAACUACCCCUAUGAACAAAAAUUGUUUUGCUACUGUAACAGUGCACUUAAAAUUUCUCUGGGUACUUGCAUUCAUACAUGCAAUAACUCCUAGCCAUGAAGAGUUUUUGUUUCUUCUCACUUUUGUUCCUUUCUUAUGUUAUUUGGCAAACUCUAGAAUCACAAAUAAUUAUGUAUUUCACUAUUCUCAGAAGCGGAGGUACUUUCAGCUCCUCCAAAGUUGGUAUACAGCAAACUAAUUUUGCGGUGAGCCCUUUAAAUUGAUAAUUAAAACAAUUUCAUUUUGCAGAUUCCUGCAGCUGUUGUUGUGUACACCUCCAUACACACACGUGCGCGCACACACGUACACACAGCUAAUUUGUUUCUGCUCUUCAUCACAGAUUCACAAGGAAACUUCUAGUGGCAAUAGUAGAAAGGUGGAACAGUCAUGUCCUUGUUAUUGACAAAGUUGCUCCAUCUAAUUGGAAGGUGUGCAAUUUACUGUAUGAAAUGGAUAAUUUGUACUUCUAGAUUUUUUUUUUACUCUGAACUGUAGGUAUGUCUUGUGAGUUGAAUAACAUUGAAUCAUACUUUUUCAGAUCUUCAGCUUUAUAUUCUACAUCAAUGGUCCUAUUUUUAUUUAUAUUUUUUACCUAUGGGUGUGCCCAUUGUUUUCAUAUCUAAACAUCAUAGGAUCGUCUCCCUUUUGAGAACACUUGUUGACUCGACAGCUCUAUAUCUGUUCCAUAAACCAAAUGAAACCAAGCUUUUAUCCCAAUCAAUUGGGGUUGGCUACAUAAAUUCUUUUACGCCAUUGAACUCUAUCAAGGGCCAAAUGUUUGCUGAGCCCUAUAUCUGUUCCAUCCCAUCUGAAAAAAUAUUGAGCUUCUUUAUUGUAAAUAUUUGUAGAAAAACGACUUAGAGAUACUUUCUAAGAAAACCUAUGUUAUUAUCGGUAUUCAGUAGUUAAUGACCAUUUAAUUAUUCAUGAUUCUACCGGAAAGGAUAAGUUAGGUAAAAGUGUCAAUUCAACAAAUUAACCAUCUCCCUGCAUCUAAUUUAGUGGAGUUUCUGGGUCCAGCAUGCCAAGUCCUUGUAAGAACUUAGAAGCCGUGUUUGGUUCCAUAUCUCACAAGGUUCACACAUUUGUGGCGAUAUGACUUUGCAACAGGAAAGGAAGUAAAGGGAUCCGUGAAAAAAAAGGAAUUAACUGACCUUGUUUUCAAACCUCAGUAUUGAGGAAUUGACUCUCAUCAUUUUCAUAUCUCCAAGCUAGUAUCAGACUAUGAAAGUUUCUGCUGCUUUAGCUUCCAUUUUUAAUGCCUAAAAAUUUCUGUAUUCUACAGAAUGAGCCAGCGGGCAGAAUCUUGGAGUUCUGUAUUCUUCACUUGGCAAUGUCUGAAAUAACAGUGCUAGGAACAAGGCGCCAGAUAGUCAUCAACGAGGUUUUCUUGUCUUGCAUUUUUGUUUCUUUACUACUGUUAUACUGCCGUUUAUUCUGUACCAUGUACUGUGUUCUCAAUUUUAAUUUUAUUCAACUGUGUGUGGGUAUUUUUGAAGGCCGUUGAUAUUGCAAAACGCUUCUGUGAUGGAGCAGCCCCUCGUAUAAUCAAUGGUUGCCUCAGGACGUUUGUCACAGAUCUUGAAGAAAAUGGUACAGCUCAGGGACUAGAAGGUAAGCAAAUACUGUUCCAUUAAUCUAUUGUUUGGCUACUAGCUGAUGUUGGAGAACCUCAAGAAAGAGCUCUUUCUUCUCUGCAAUGAAGAGAUGCUUUUAUCGGAACAAGCGAAUCUGUUAACAACUAACGGGGAAUGAGGUUCCGGUGGAUCUUAAUUCUUGGAAAAUAGGGGAGAAUAGCACGUGGAUGCUGGAAACCCAUAUGCAUUCAAUCUUGUACUCGUAUGAAAAUAUAUUUAUUGGCAUGCAUUCUAAAUAUUUAAGAUAGUAAUAUAAAUUCGGUGAAACUUCUUCAACUCCUGGGGCGAAUUUUAGAUGUUAUGCAUCACAUAAACUUCUGUUUAGAAAAGAUGAAUUGGCAUCUGUCUCUCUCUUCCUUUGAAGUUUGAGUAGGUCUUUUUGGGUUUCUAUAGAUCAUAAAUUUAGAAGUUUAACUUAUCAAAAAAUUAAAUAAAAAAAAUCAAAAGUUACCGCGAUAAAUGACUUUUUUAUUAUUAAUUGAAAGACUUGAACUUAGUAUCUUUAUCGCACAAAUAAUGAUAAGGGUAAAACCAAAAAUUGACCAUUCAAGACAAAGUUUACCAAGUUGGAUGCAUUGUUCAAUGUACUUUUAAAGCGAAAGCCUUGGUUCUGCCUUUAGCUGUCUAGACUCUAGAGGUAGGGUCUGAGAUUGUCGCCUGCGUGUGAGAACUGCUGUGUGGGCUCUGUGAUGGCCGCUGUGUGGGGAGUUGUGAUUGGCCUCUUUGUGUGGUGUAUGGUGGGGCUUUGUGACAGGUGCAUGCUAGGUGUUGGGUGAGAAAGUGAGGUGGACAGUUGUGGAUCAGCUUCCCUCCAUACCCCCUCCUCUCCUCUCUCUGGACACCAAUUGAUUUUGAGCUUGUUUUUAGUCUGUUUUUUUUUUUUUUUUUAAAUCUUAGAAAAUAGAAUUGAAACUUUGGAGUUCAAAGGACUUAACUAUGUUUUGCAAUAAUAUAUAAUAUAGAUACGGUAUUAAUGAUCCCUCUUGUAUUCUAGCAAAAAAUUAUAUGCUUGUGACUCCAAAAUUAAAUGAACUUUACACUUUACAUUCCUAGGUUACGUCCCUGUGAUUGUACAUCCUCAUUUCAUAGAAGCGAGAUGCGAUGAUCUCCUCUCCUCUAUCAAAAAUAUAAUGGGAUGAUAGAUUUCAUCGAAGUCAAAACAAUUGAAUGGAAUCAUCCAAAGGUCUGCAACACGUGUAGGUGACUCUAUGUAUGUAUGUUCUGAUUCAUGAUAGAGUGCUAAUUAUCGAUGGUAGCAAAAAUGAUUGGUUGAAUGGAGAGGAGAGAAGAGGGAGGGAGGGAGGGAGGGAGAGGAAAAUCAUAAAUAUUUACUUUUCCUGCAUUCAUGUAUAAUUACAAAAACACUGUAAAUGUUUCAUUAUUGCACAUCGUUGGUUCCAUUGAAGAGGUAGUUGUUAAGUAAAAUAUUCGGCAACAAGCAGUAUUUUAAAGAAUAAUUUUAUUAAUAUUCAAUAAAUUGAACUUACAAGCUUUAAUCGAUUGAGAAAAGAGCUUAACCGGUUGAACAAUUACAGAAAUGUAAGUUACAAAAAUUGAAAUGCAGAAACUUAAAUAAAAAAUACAAAUAAAGCCGAGUCUUCCAAUUGCAGUCUCUUUAAGAAAGAUUAUCUGCUUACUGAGAUUGUUGUAGGGUUUUGUCGAUAUCUUUCUCCUAAUAUAAAAUGGUUAAAACUGCACACUUAAGAACAUUUUCGAAACACCCUUGACGAAUUGAGUCAACGUAUGUCUGUCUCUCUCUCAAAAAUGAUAACUCAAAAUGUUUUCUAUAUUAUUAUUUUCAUUGUAUAUCUCAACACAUGAAGAUCAAUAUAUAUAUAUAUAUAUAUAUAUAUAUAUAUAUAUAUAUUGUUUUUUGUCCAAUAAACAUCCUUCAUACAUAAGUGGUGUUUAAUGGCUGAAUUUAUUAUAUAUAUCCUUAAUAUAACUAUUGGAAUUUAUCAUAUAUAUCCUUAAUAUAACUACUGGAAUAGAAAAUUACAUAGAUCCUUAAUAUAACUAGGGUUGUUCAAAUAUCUGAUCCAUCCGUCAACCCGAUCGAUCCGAACUAACCCAACCCGAACCCGACCCAACGCGCUCAUUCUACGAAUGAAUAACAGAUGGAUUUCAAUUAACCGGAUCACAUUCGGUUUGGGUGUCAGGCCAUUCAAUCGACCAACCCGACAAAAAAUUACACUAAAAUCUACCAUUUUCAUCUAACCCGAUCCCAAUCCGACCAUAUAUUGGAUCGAAUUCAGACCCAAUCUUCUCCAACCCGACCAGUUCGGUUCGGAUGUCGGAUAACUCCCAAAUCCAACCAGAGGCGGAUCCAUGUGAGGCCCGGGGGGCAGCUGCCCCCUCUCAAGUUUGGAAAAAAAAAAUUUGCCAUAUAUUUCUAGAAAAAAAAUUUAUUUGUCUCUCCUCAAAAUUAUAAUGCCCUCCUUCCGAAAAAAAAAUUUAACAAUUGCCCCCACCUGAGUUUUUUCCUGACUCCGCCACUACAUCCAACCCGACCCCGACCCGCCCGUAGACAACCCUCAAUAUAACUAUGGAAUUUAUCAUAUAUAUCUUAAUAUAACUAUUGGAAUCUAAAUUACUUAAUAAAUUCAGCCAUUAAAACAUCACUUCAUAAUGAGGAUUAUUAUUGACCAAAAAACAGCGUGGCCAUUAAGCUGCUAAAGGGCCCGUUGGCUGGAGGAAUGGGAGGGAGGAAAAUUUUAGAAGGGGAUAACUUUUAACUAUUGUUUGGAUACUUUUUAGAUGGAUGGAUAAGCGGUGUGAAAUAAGGAGUAAAUAUAUAUAGAGAAAAAACAAAUAUAAAAUAUCUGAUAUUAAAAAUAUAUAUUUUAUUUUUUUCUCAUAUAUAUCAAAAAAAAUUAUACUUUUAUUUCCUUUAUAUAUAUUUUUUCUAUCUCUCACCCCCUUAUCCCCCGGAUACUUUAGUUAGGGUCUAGGCCACCUAAAAUUAUCCGCCUCUCCACCCUGCUGGGGGAAAAAAUUAUCCGGGAGAAAAGUUAUCCGCCCCUCCAUAUCCAACCAGCCAAACGGCCGAGGAAAAAAAUUAUUCAGGAAAAAAGUUACCCCUCCUAAUCGACCGGCCAAACUGCCUAAUAGGAUGUUUAAGACAUAUAAAUAUCCCUUUAAUAUUCAUUCAAAAAAACCCAUUAAAUUUCCAACCAGUAGUCCAUCCUUUCGGCGGUGGUUGCGCUCGUGGAUGCAAGUGAAAGGUUGUGUGGGGGUCUUCAUAGAUGUCCUGUAACCGAUAAUAGAGCGCAAGUCUUCCCAUUUUCCCAUUUUUCUUCCAAAUAAUGGAUUCUGUCAAAAUUUAUUUUCAUCCAUUCCAAGCUUUUACAAGAAUUUUUCAAUCAAUGAUUUAGAAAUAAUUGUUGAAAAACUGGGUUCUUAAUCCAUUAGUUUUGCCCCAAUUUUAAGGCUAAUUAAGUGGACCACACUCUUUUGGGUGGGUCCCAGUAGUUAUGAUAUAUUUAAUGUGAGUAAUUAAGAAUAUGUAAUUAAUUUGUUCAAAACCUUUUACAAUUGAAUGGAAAAUUGACUUUUCCCCCCCCAAAAAAAAACAAAAGUAACUACAUAAAUGUGAAGGGAAUGUUAGCUUAUAAGGAGAUACUUUUUAUAUACUGGCUAUAUAUUUUUUUAUAAAAAAGUUAUUUAUUUAUUUUAAUAAAUAAGUUUUUUUAAUUGCAAUUUUGUCUCCGAACAGUUGCGUCUUUUCGGAUUAGUUCCAAAUAGUUGCGUCCGUUCGGAUUAGUCCCGAACUAUUGCGUCUGUUCGUUUUAGUCCCUGCACGUUUAAAUUUUAAAUAAACAUACCAUUUGAUGGGUUACCUUCCUUCUGAAAAGUUGCAUCUCUUCCAACAGCCACGAAUCCUUCUAUAAAAGUCUUCCCCUUUUAGCUAUUCUGAAAUAUCGAAAAACAUCUUUUGCAAUACUAAAUCUUCUUUUCAUCUGCACUUCCCUUCUGCACAUUUUUAUUGUUAUUGGUUCGCCAAACUCGCUGUUGUUGUGUUGUACCAGUGAGAUUCCGACUGUUGUAUGAGACAUAGUCCAUUAAUUUCAUUGGCACCAGUGCGGAUGAUUAAUCUAUCUUAAGGACACUAUUAAAUACAUGCCUCAGUCACCAUUUUUAGAUUCUGAUUUCAAAACAAAAAAGUUUCUGUAAGUUUAUUUUUGUUCUUUCAAAUUAUUAUAAAUUUAAUUUCAUAUUAAUCUUGCCAAUUUCACACAUUACACGUAAGAUUGUCCAAUGAUAAAUCUUUUUAACAAAACAUCAAAGUCAACCUCUUAAAAGGCUAUGGACCCAUAAUCAUAAUUGCAGGCAUAUUUUUAUUUAUUAAAAACUAAAAAAUCUAAGAGAUUGUAUGGAAUGAAAGCGCAAAGAACUUGAAGUAUGUAUUGCCACAAUAGGGGAUGUUUGGUAACGUUUUUAAUUUUUCUGUUGUUUUGUGUUUGUUUAUUUUUAUUUUGUUUUAUUAUUUUUUUAUAAAAUAGAAUUAAAAAUACGUUUGUGUCCACUUAUUUUUAACCUAUUUAAACAUAAAAAUAUGUUGUGUUUUCACCUUUUUUGAAACUUAUUUUCAAAGAGAUAGAGCCGGUAGUGUAGCGGUGGUAGAGGAGGUGGCGAUGGUGGUUGGAGGUGGCAACGGCAGUGGGUGGUUGGAGGUGGCGGCGGCAGUGGUGGUGGAGUGGAAGUGGCGGCGGUGAUGGUGGUUGGAGGUGGCGGUGUUGGUGGAGGAGGUGGCUGUGGCCGGUGGUGGUUGGUGGUGCGGCGGCGGCAGUAGUGGUUGGCGUGGCGGUGGUGGAGGUGGAGGCGGUGGCGUGAGGAGUGGAGGGGUGGAGGUUGGAGUGUAGCGGUGGUGGUGGUGGUGGUUGGAGGUGAGGUGGGGUGGUGUUUGUGUUGGUGGUGUGGUUGGGAGGUUGGAGGUGGAGGUGUUUGUUUGUUGGUGGUUGGAGGUGGCGGCGGCGGUGGUUUUGGUGGAGGUGCGGCGGCGGCGGUGGCGGGUGGAGGUCGAAAGUUGCGUGGAGGUUGUGGGUGGUGAUGGCGCGGUGAUGGUGAUGGUGGUUGAUGUGGAGGUGGAGGUGGAGGUGGUGGUGGUGGUGGUGGUGGCGGUGGUAGUUGGAGGUGGCGAUGGCAGCGUGGUUUGGUGAUGUGGUGGUGGUUGGAGGUGGCAACGGCGUGGUGGUUGGCGGUGGCGGCGGCGAGUGGUGGUUGGAGGUGGAAGUGGCGGCGGUGAUGGUGGUUGGAGGUGGGCGGUGGUGGUGGAGGAGGUGGCGGUGGUGUAGUUUGGUGGUGCGGCGGUGUGGUGGUUGGCGGUGGUCGUGGCGGUGCGGUGGUGGUUGAAAAAGUUGGAUAAAAAUUUUGAAUGAAAAAUUUUUGUAAACAAAAUAAAAAUAAUUUUUCUGUUUUUCACUAUUGUCAAAAAUAGUGAAAGUUGUUAACUUUAUUUUCAUUAUUUUUGCAACACAAACAAGUUUUUGUUUCAUUUAACAGAAAAAUAAAAUUAACAGAAAAACGAAAUUCCUGGGGUUAACAAACAUCCACUAGAGGUUUAGAAUGGCUUUGUUUGGCUGCGGAUAGCGAGGGGAUAUUUUUUUUUGGAUAUUUUUUUUUAUCCGCGUUUGGAUCGUUUUUAUGCAGGCGAAUAACUUUUCUUCCUCAAUAAUUUUUUCUCAGCGGGCGGAUAGAACGGAUAAUUUUUGGUGACCCCUCACCCUAACAAAAGUUAUCCGGGUGGAUAAGGGGUGAGGAUAAAAAAAAAACAUAUAAUAAAAAUAAAAUAUAUAUUUUUAUUUUAUAUAUAGAGAGAAACAAAAUAUAUAUUUUUAAUAUCCUAGAUAUUUUAUAUUUUAUUUUUCUCUAUAUUAUUUUGUCUUAUCCCCACUUUUAAUUCACUCAUUUUAAAAAAUAUCUAACCCAAUUAAAUUUAUCUGCCUCAAAUUUUAUCCACCAUGCUAUUCGGCACUACAAAAAUUUAAAAUAAAACACAAUUUCUACUUACAAAGCAAGCCAAACCAACCAGACUUGUUUGAAACCUGAGAAAGAAAUGGAAAGGAGAGGAAAAGAAGCAGCUAGCUAGCCAGCUGGCCUAGGAAGGAAAUUAAAUAAUAAUAAUAAUAAUAAUAAUAAUAAUAACAAUAAUAAUACGGUGAGAGAGUGAGGCUCCGUUUGGUAAUACUUAAAAAUUAAUUUUUUUUUAAACUUGCUAUCAAAAAGACCAAUUUUUUUUUGUAAUUUUACUUUAGCUAAAACUAAAUAAAAAAAUAAAAACAGAAAAGCAAAAAAAUCAACUCUGAUUAUUUUUUUAUUUAUUUUAAGCAAAAAGUUAAAAAAAAAAUUGAAAAAGAUGGUGCCAUCCGUUUGGUAAUGCUUAAAAGUUAAUUUUUUUAAAGUUUGUUACUAAAAAGACCAAAUUUUUUUAAUUUUUUGAUUUUUUUGAUUUUACUUUAAUUAAAACUAAACAAAAAAAAUAAUUUUAAUUAAUUUUUUAAUUUAUUUAAAAAAAAAAAAAAACUGAUGCCAAACGGAGACUAAGUCUCCGCAAGGAUAAGGGUAAGCUAAUUUUUUGAUUCUCGGUCUAGGAUAAUUAUUUUCCUGCAUACGGUUCAUAUUUUGGUGUCGGCUCAUGAACUCAUAUAAAUUCUUGAAGUUCCCACCGAUACGAUAUUUGCCCUUAAUUACAAAGAAUAAUAAUUUUACACAUUUAUUUUGCCCUCUCAUAAAAUAAGUGGGACUCACUCUAAUUAAAAUUAUUAAAAAAGCGUAAAAAUUCUAAUUAAGACGGAUCUCACUUAUUUGUGAAAAAACAAAAAUAAAUGUGUCUUGUACACACCCAAUCACUAUUGUAAUUACAAAGGUCUGAGUCGUCUGACAGAAUGCGCAUGAAAGGUGGCAAAGAUUUGUGAGUCUUUCAUAAAAUGCAGGAACAAGCACCGUGAGCUAACUUGUAGCGGAUAAAGCCACCUUUCCCUUGACGAAUAUACCCUCCACAAGAAGUGGACUUCACAGAGCACGGAAUGAGGUUAUUUUGGGAAAGUAACAAGGGCUCAUCGAUAAGCUGUCUCCAGAUCUUUCCUCACCACUCAAAAAUAACAAACCCUUUCUUCUCUCUCACUCCUCUCCCUUCCGCUCUCAAACGAUCCCUCCUAUAAAUCUCCUUUGCUAUAUAAAAGACGAUACUUUUCAAAUUCUUACCGCCCUAUUUCGAUUCUUCUCACUCUUGUUGCAAAAAAAUCUCCCAGAUCUCUGAGUCUGAAUCGAAACCCUAAAUUUCAUUUUCUUACACGAACAUUCCGUAUCAUAAAAGGUCUGAUCUCUCUUUCCGACUCUCAAAUCUUCGCUUGCGUUAGAUCCGUGUUCUGGGUUCUUCCUUUUUGCAAAUAAGCACUCAAUUGGGUUUGGGUUUUUGAUUCGAAAACCUAACGAUUCAAUUGACCUCACAAGCUUAAUUUUCUCUCAAAUCAAUUGCCUUUCCAGGUUUCUUUGUUUCUCUAUUUUCUACUCUUAUAUUCGAAUUAUUUUUAGUUUAAAACAUGGUAUUAUGGGCGUCAUUGUAUGUGUGUUAAUCUAUCUACAAGUGUAUUUAUAUACGGUAAUUUUUUCUUAUAGAUUGGAAGAUUUGAGUUUUUUCUUGAGAGGGGUUAAAAAAAUAGUUUGCUUUUUCCUAGGAAGUUCUCAAAAAUAGAGUGGGGAAGAGUGAGAAGUGGUUUCUGGUAUGGUGUAAGAGUGUUUUCUGAUUUCUUGUUACUUGUGUGUUAGAAGACAUAGGAGCAGUGUUUGGGGAAGCAUGGAGGAUCAAGUGUUGGAAGGGAGCCAGCCAGUGGAUCUUUCCAAGCAUCCGUCUGGAAUUGUCCCAACUCUCCAGUGAGUCCCUUCCCACCAAUCCAUCCCCCCUAUCAGUUUUUCCAUUCCAUGUUGUACAUUGACACCAGAUUGUUGUACUAUUAUUGUAAUAAAAGCUAUGUACUCCGUAUAUGCUAGAUUUGAAAAAUUGGCCAAUUCUGCUAUAUAUGAUGCCAACAAGACAAUAGGCUUGUGCACCUCAACUGCGCUUGUGCAUUGGCAUGGUUGUAUCUUGUCAGAGAAAAAGAAGGGAAAUUCGCCAUAAUAUCUUGAACUCACACAAUGUGUUUUUACUUAUAUGAUUAUCGGUUUGUCAUUCACUUGUGGCAAUUGAAGAAAACAAACACUAUCUUGUGCGCUGAAAUAUGUACUGAAUAAUUGUUGACGUAUUCCUUGACUAUUUGUAUGAAUUUCUCGCAUCAAGUGCUAUUUGGAAUAUGUAAACUAGCUCUCAAUCAUUUUGCAACCAUGACCAUAGUUUCUGAUCGAGCACACAUAAUCACAGGAGAAUGUGCUUGUUCAUGCAUAUACACAGAUCAAUAAUUGAUAAUCUUGGCAGAUCCAGUAAUAUAAUUAUUAAACCUGGAUUUUCAGUCCAAUUGUCCUUCAUUAAAAAAUGAUGAUUGAUUUAAGUCCGCUUGGAAGUUUACAUGCAGAGGGAAUGGUGGCCAGACUGCUGUCGCCUCUCCUCCCUCAAUUUCUUGUAGAUAUCCAUAUUUUAUAGAUUUUUAUGUAUAAUUUAUUAAUUUUAAUUCACAAUAUGUCAUCAAGUCUCCUUUUCUGGAAGGAGACCUCAGUUUGUCACUUAGUGUACUAUCAGGUAUUCUUUUCUGGAAGGUCUCAUUAGUCAUGAGCCUUCAAUAAGUCAUAGAACGUAGCUACCUUACGUUUAAGGGGUGCAACAACUUUCUAAACUCUUUUACAAUGGAGAAAAGGUAAACAUGUGAGUAUCAAUUAUUUUUUCCAAGAAACACUUCCAUGAGAAAAUCUACGAAGAUUGAAUUGACCAAUGUCCCAUGUAUUACUAACAUUAGGUCUCAAGGAAAAAUCAUCAAGAAUGACCAACAAGAGCGUCAACUCAUCUGUUUCACAAUCACUAAUUUUGGUAAAAAAAUUUGAAAUUCCAAGAAAUUGGGUUCACAUGAAAAAUAACUUUAGAAGCAAUGCAAAUGAAAAAUACCCAUAUAAGUGUAUGUUUCUAAGCGUCGGAUUCAUCCAAUUCUUAUGCCUAAAGAGCAUGGACACUACAAAAAUAUCCGUUUUAAUAUACCUAUUUUGUUUUCGGGGGAAAAUGAUGUUUAUAAGGAGCAAUAGAAUGUUUCUUGGAUUAAAUGGGUGCUUAUGCAUCGCUAUAUGGUACACUCAAAAUACUAAACGUGAUUGUUGGGUGGAUGAUUUUUACCAUAUCCCGUAAUCUACCCAAAUGUCCUACACGAGUACUGGUGUUUAGAAAAGAGCCCAUAUAACAUAAUUGGACAAGGAUGAGCAUUUUUUUCCCUUCUAGGGCUAUUGUUUUUUGAUUUUGGAGUGAGUUGGAUUACACCGGCUUCGGCUAUUCAUCUUCUCGAUUGUUGGCAUGUUUAGCGUCGGGAUAAGAGGGUCAAAAAGGUGUGGAGGCUGGAGAAUUGCUCCUUUAUGCUUAAUGUCGUGUUUAUGGAGAGAAAUAAAUAUGCAGACUUUUGAAGACGUGCGGUGCUACUCGAGACCUAAAUUGGCUUUAUUUAGUUCUUUUUAUUUUUGGAUUAAGGAGGCUUUUGUCUCUCCUCCUUUUUGUUAGUGAACUUCAUGAGGGAGUUACACUUUGGGGAGGGCUUAUAACUAUGUCUUUUUUGUAUAUUCAUCCAUUUUUUCCCUUUUUAUGUACUUGGGCAAUGCCCCUUCGGCAUCCUUCUUAUACAUUUAUGUUCAUGUGUGAGAUCUAAGAGACAGAUCUCGAUAUGGAAUGUAUGAAAUGAGAAGUAGUGGGAUGUAUGAAAGCAGUAGUUCUCUGUAAGGGAUCUAAAGAGAUAUAACUCAGAGGGAAAGAGAAAGCAAUAGUCUACCAGAGAGAGGCAUAAUCCAGGACUUCUUCUUUAGUGGAGAAGCAAAUGAACAGUGUUUAAAGCUUGUCGAUUUCAACAAAGCAGUCCCCCUAUCUAUAGGCUUCCGCUCACAUGACUUUUAGUAGCUCAUGUGAGUGGUCUUAAUCGACCCAUGUGAGGUCCUUAUGACCUCACCGGAAAUCAAGGGACGUGCUCUCCUGGUUUCUGUUAUAGUCCACGUGACAGGACCACUUGAACCAUUAUAAUAAAGAAAUGCAGACCUCUCUCUUCUAAUAGACAGGCCAAAGUAGUGCACACUUCCGCUUCGUACCAGACCGUGGUGCAUUACUUGGCAGACUCCCAUCUUUACCUCCAGUCCACAGGCUCUUAGAUCUCGCGGCGGAGACAAGGUGAUGGCUUUCCAAGUUAUCCUCUUGGACUUGUCCAGCUUAUGCUCAAUCAUGAGGGGCCGUGGUUGUGAUUGUAGAGCAACGUGGUAUCCCCAGUCCCCAAGCUAAUACCUACAAUUCACCUAUUAAAAAUUACUGACUCAUAUUGAUCACUUUGUACUUGGGUCGAGCGUUUACCUUCUAUAAUUUGGACUUAGAUGUUUGUAGGCACUAAAGAAGCAUUUAUCAAGCACAGAGAGCUGGUUGGCGACGUCAACUACUUAGUUUCAUUAGAAAAGAAAGUCAACUAGAUGCUGGGUAUUUUGAAGUUAAGUUAUUCCCGUCUUUGUAUGAUUUAGAUGAUUUGGGGUUUUUAUGCAUUUGAUAAUUGGGGUUGGGGACAUCCUCUUCUUAUAUGCAUAUCAUGUAAAAGAGGUUCCAACUAAAUUUCUCCACUUGCGUGUGCUAUUGCAAUGAUGGUGCUGCUUGGUCUGUUUAUUUGCUUUUAUAGUUUGAUCAUUGCACUAACUGCACGCACCUGAUACAUGUAUAAAUUUCCAUCUAGGGGAUUACUACCACCAUAAAACAUGCCAAAAUAUGCUUGGGAAAUGGAAAACCAGUGGCACUACUAAUUUGUUCUUAUUGAUGUAGUCAUAUAGAGGAUUGUUUGGGUAUCUAUCCCAUCCCCAAUUAUUUUCUGGACAACAUGCUUAAAAUAUUCAAAUUUGUAGCAAGACGUUCUUUCUCCAGUUAACAACUGAUUAUGAUUCUUAACAACAAAUUGUCUGUACGACUAGGAACAUAGUGUCAACAGUAAACUUAGACUGCAAGUUGGAUCUUAAGGCCAUUGCACUUCAAGCUCGAAAUGCAGAAUACAAUCCCAAGGUAUGGAGUAUGUUUGACUGAGAUUUUCUGCUUAGCCUUUGAAAAUUUAAAUCUGGAAUCCCGUCUUGCACUUUGAGAACUAAGAUUUAAGAAGUUUAUUAAAAUUUAUUUUUCAAAGUUAGUAUUUUCUGAUUUCUUUAUCAAUCUUUAUUUGAAUCUUCUUACUUUUGCUCCUUUUGGCACGUUUUGCUGCUGUAAUUAUGAGGAUAAGAGAACCAAAAACUACGGCAUUAAUAUUUGCUUCUGGAAAGAUGGUGAGUGUCUCCAUGUCAUGCCUUAUGUUCUUUAUGGAAAAUUAUCAAAUUCCACACUAUUUGCUGCCCAUAAAAUUUCGUAAACAAUUGUUGUUUCUUGUAUCCAAAAAUGUCUCCUCCUUACUCCAGGCAUACAAAUUAGGUUUCAAUAUGAAGCUUUUUAUUUCUUACUACAACAUUUUGCCCAUAUCACAUCCUCUGCCUAGAUUUAAAGGUUGACUAUGAUUUCUUUAGGGGUUUUCUGGUGUACAGUGAGCUGGCACGUCUUCACGUCACUUCUAGAGAGGUUUUGUUACUUGCUUGAUAGUUGCAGGUAGAGAUGAACUGAUUAAAUUUUUAAGGCCUAUAUGCUAGGAUAACCGGAGGUUGAGACUCUUGUACUACUUGAUGGUCGUGUCAACUUUAAAAGCCAAGCUAACCUGAUACUCGUUGCAUUUGAUUUGAGGCUUUCUUAACUAAAAUAAGCAUCAUUAAUUAAAAAUCUUAUAGGACAUCUAUUUACUUAUGUAGUUUUUGGGGUGUUACUUGCCAUUCUUUUGUAAUGUAAUUUUUGCACGAUUUUAAAAGAAUGGAGAUAUAUGCUAGUCUUUUCUGUUGGAAAGGAAAAUGCAUUGCAUAAUCAGUAUUUCAUAGAAUAUACUGUCUUCUUGCUAUACUCUCUUGAGGUCAAGUAAUAUAUAGCUUGAGCUCAAUUUACAAAGAACUUCAGCACCCAAAAUUUUAAUGCAUUUGUCUUGUCCCAAAACUGAUAUUAAGUUAGCCUAUGAUAGCUGAAUUGCAGAUUUGCGUAGCCCAUGGAACAUCGUAGAUGCUUGUAGAUUUAUACUUGCAUUCCUCAUGUGCCAUAUAGUGUAAGCCUGUUUUCGAAAUAUUAUCCUCACAUCAUUGUGUCAUAUCCCGACUCAACAAAGGAUGACUCUUUUUCAUUGGUCCUAAUGCUUGCUGGUAACCAUAAUGUAAGAAGUGGGUAUUGUGAAAAAAACUACAGGAUGAACCAGUAACUUGCAUAAUUAUGCAUUUGGAAAGAAACAUCAUAUCCUAUAUCCCUAGUUGAACCCAACCCGUUUCAUGGAAAAACCUUCAUUUCAUAUGAUCUACCUUUAGCAGUCCUUAGAGGAAUAGGUUGCUGAGACUUUUGUUUUUUGUUGCUAUUCCCCAAGCUUCCGAGGUAUGUUAAUGCAUUUACGUACAGAGUUGCUUGUGACUUGUGAGGAGCCAUACAUGAGGAGCAAUUAAACAACUAACAUAAACUACCAUAUUCUUUAAUAGUUUAAGCUUAUGGAGUUACAGGUAAUACUUGUAAUUAGCACAAUUUACAUUUUUGGUUCUUGGAACAGGAUUGCAUGACUUGAUCGCAUGAAAAGCUUUCUCAUGUCUGUUCAAGAUUCACAGGCUCUCUUUAUUUUUGAGAGUUCCAUAUUGCUAAAAUAUGAUGUCGACAUCAAGUGCUAAUGGUCAAUGGAAAAAUAUUAUGUUGACAUCUAAUGCCUCUCAUAAUAUGUUAAUGCAAUUUGAAUGUCACUAUAUGGAUUAAAAGUUAUUGGUUGGCUAUCCUUUCUAUUGCUUAAGUACUUCUCAUGUGGCUUCAGGUUUGUACUGGGGCAAAGAGUGAACAACAGUCAAAAUUGGCAGCACGCAAGGUAGAAGGAAUGAUAUUUUUAUCAAUAAGCAUUGAAGUUUUCAACUUUUUACUGUAGAAGGAAUGUCAUGAUGAACUUUCUGUGUCAUCUUUAUUGUGAUAAGUGUAACCUGGUAUUUGAAUCGAUUCUAGGUGUGUGGUAUUGAUGUUUUAUUUUUAUUUUUUAAAAAUAUGUUCCCAUGUGUUAUGUUUGCUUUUUGCCAGUAUGCUCGAAUCAUACAAAAGCUCGGUUUUCCGGCUAAAUUCAAGGUAUGUACUCCUAAAAGUGUGCACAUACUGAUACAACACACAUAUCAGUCACCCUAUGGUUGUCACUUUCUUAGAUUAGAUAGUUGUCAUACUCAUUCUUUUUUUCCGCACAGGAUUUCAAGAUUCAGAACAUAGUUGGCUCAUGUGACGUUAAAUUUCCAAUUAGACUUGAAGGCCUUGCAUACUCCCAUGGUGCUUUUUCAAGUGUAAGUGAUAGCGAGUUUCGAUAUGUAUAUUUUUUGGUCUUCAUAUAAAAGUCAUGGCUGUAACUGGAAAUCCUAGAAGGUUUUGCAUUGCAUCAACGGUGACAGGAUAAAGUUUUGCAGUUAAGGUUGUGUUCUGCAAUCCUUGGUUUAUAAUUGGUCUAGAAUGUUAGUUAAUAAUCCAGAAGAAGGUCAAAGUAGAUUAUUGUUGUAACUUUUUUGGGCGUUGUUCAAUGUAUCUUACUAUCUUAUGUACUUCCUCAACUGACUGCCAAAGUUGCUGACAGUGUUACUGGUCAUGUCAUGUUUAGAAGCUUUUUUAAAUUAAGGCAAAUGCAUCAAUCUCUUCAUUCAUAAUACUAAUGAUAGAUCAGGCUUGUGAUACAGUAUGAACCAGAACUGUUCCCUGGAUUGAUCUACCGGAUGAAACAACCAAAAAUUGUGCUGCUUAUAUUUGUUUCUGGGAAAAUUGUUCUUACAGGCGCGAAGGUGAUGAAUAAGAUCUGGAAGUUGCCUCAUUGACUUUUUCAUGUAGUUUUUCAGGUUUUAUAAGGUAUUCUGGCUGUCUGUAAUCUGCACUGUUGUGUUUCUUCAAAUUCUUCAGGUGAGAGAUGAGACUUAUUCUGCCUUUGAGAAUAUAUACCCAGUUCUUACCGAGUUCAGGAAAGUUCAGCAAUGGUAUGACACCUAAUUGCAUUUAUUUAUGUUCCAGCAUUGAUCAUAGCUUGAAUCUUUUGAUUAGGGGCGCUAACUUUUACUUGCCUCGCUUACCUAGCACUUCAUGUACUCUGUUCUACUUAUCAAUUUUUUUUUAUUAGUCCGUCCACCUAGUUCCUUGAUUUAGCAAACAUUACUACAGAAGAUUCCAAAAGAUGACUUGUGUAAGUUGGUGGGAAAGUAGUCUUUUAGCAUUAUAGUAUAACGGCAAACAAUGUUCAAGACCCAUUGCUUUAUUUUCUUUUCUAUUCUUUAUUUUCUUUUUCUUUUUUAAUUGCUGGAAACCUGCAAGGAAUACUUGGAACCUGAGUUGAAAUGCGUGCUGUUUAAUCUUAAUUUUGUAUCCAUGAAAUAUUUGACUUGAUUACAUCUUCAGCUUUGUGGUUUGUUGCAUAUGGAGCAGUGGAUUCAGAGACCUGAUAUUUGGUGCCCUAUGUCUCCACUAAUCCAUUAAAGACAGAUGAUUGAUUACACUACUUGCAAUGUACUCCAGUUUUCAUUGCUGAAAGGUUGACUAAUCUAAUUUGUCCAUUUUGUUGCAGAUUGUUUUGGGGAUGAGCAACUGACCAAUAUCUGCAAGUAGUGUUAAGAAAAUGAAGAGCAAGGAAAUCUGCUAUUGGAUAUCAUGACUGCUGAAACUGGUUUUACUGUAAAUAGAUGCGAGGAAAAAAUGGCUUAAUUUUUUUGGGGGUGGUGGUGUGGUGCGGUGGUGUUAAAUAAAUUUACUUGAUUGAAAUCAGGACCAUGAGUUUUGUUUUGUUUUGUAUCACAUGUAGUAGCAUCAAUUCAUUCUAUAGCAUUUUCAAUGUCUUCAGGCUAGUAAGAACUUGCACUUGCACUACACUAGAGUGUUUGAUUUUAACUUCUCUUCGUGCAUUUUGUAUGGGUACGAGUUUUCUUGGUUGGACAUGCAAAUAUAAAAUGAGAAGGUUCAUGGUAUUCUUUUAUGCAUUUGGACUUCAAAAUUAUAUUUGGCAAAUUCCUCGUAAGAUUAAAACUUACAAUGGGCAGCAGAGAGAUUGAGAGAGAUUGAGAGAGAGAGAGAGAGAGAGAGGUGGGUGCUGGACAUUGAUAGUGUAAAAAGUCUCUUUCUGCAAUUUCCCAACUAAGAAGACAAUUCUAAUUGUAAGAUAACAGAAAAUUGUACACGCCAAAUUUAUCAUCAUCAUCAUAAUCAUUGCAUUAGGACCUCUUCCAAGAACUGAAAAACAAAUAUGAUCCGCCUGUGACAAUAUUUCACAUGCCACGAUCAAUUGCAUUUUCACGUCAUAUACUCGGAAAGUAUUUUAUGACAACAGUAUGCUGCAUUAGACCAUCAACAUUUCAAAAGAAUGGUAAGAAACAUGAUCUUAUUACAGUAUCUAUAUUCAAUGUGGAACAGGUUGAAGAGAAACACAGCCAGGGAAGUGUUCAUCCCCGACUUUUCUCUUUCUGUUUUGUUCCACUUUAUGAAUUUCUAUGAUGCUGAUGACAUAGUGACCUCUCUCUAAUGAGCUUAUCCGCACCAGAGUUGCUUAUGCACUAGUAAUUCACUGUUGAAUUGAUUGCAUCUAAUAUCUGCAUUCAAAAGUAGAGCAGCAGCAGCCAUUGUAAGUGGCAAUAGCAUUAAUAUCUUUUCAACACAGACCAGUACAAAAUGUUUGGUAACAGAUUUAACCUUGUUCUUGGUGGGCAUGUAGAAUCAAAAACAAGUGGAAAAGGAGUUUCUCAAAAGCCUAUCCCAAUUAAAUUCUUGAAGACUGGAAAAGCGACUAAAAAUCAGCCCACUAAGACCAAUCCAAUAUAUGGUCGGGUCAUAUUUUAACGGGCACAUGAUAUUUUAAUGGACACACAAUCAUAUAGAAAAUCUCUCACUUGAGUGCAACUCUUAGAAGAACUAUGACCAGAAAAAUAUGGCAAACCAGUAAAUAGGUAGACAAAAUCCCUAUAUGCAUAUAUGUACGACUUAGAGACAUGCAGCACGUUCCUACUGCAACAGAGGUGUCCUCCUAUGUGCGUCUUAAUGCAGUAAACAAAUUACUAUGACAGAUUUUCUAGCUAAUUGAACUUAUUUCUCCUUUUUAUUUAAGAUGCAUUAUAUACUACAGUACUAUUUUAUUCAGUUUGAUUUAAGCAUGCAUAUUAGUGGUAUCAUUCUUCUUCUUUCCAUUCAGUUUCUUAUUUUUCUUCCGGCCCAUUUGAACGAGUGGACGGACCGAACCGGACACAUAUCUGUCAAGAAGUAAGAGCACAUCUAAUGCUUCAUAUGCAAAAUACUUUGACCAUCAGUAGUGGUAGCUUCUCAAGCGUAAUAAUGAAGACAUUCAACCUUGGCAUUUUUACUGAAAAGCUAGCAAUCAACCAAUAACACUGAGUCGAAAUAAGGGAUUGGAAUGUUGCAAGAUUACCCUCAAGAAGCAACGUUCGACAAUGGGAGCAGAAAUUUCAGCACCAAAUCCACCAGUUACUGGAGCUUCAUGACUAAUCGACAAAUAAGAAAUCAGGCAGAUUACCAAGAGUUGCAACUACCACUUUCAGAAAGUUUAUUAUACAAUGGUUUUAACAUUUAAUACUUACAAGAAGCCUUCCAGGCUUGCUAACAGAGGCCUCCACUGUUUCCUUGUCCCAAGGUAUUAGAGUUCUUCGAUCAAUCAGCUCACAAGAAAUUCUUUCCUGCAAACUCUCACAUGGCGAAUAACUAUUUGCGUCACUCACAUCAAACGCACAAGCGCACAGUUGUUGCAUAAAAAAGAGAAACAAAUAGUUCAGAAUGAAACAAAGUUAACACCACCUGCUGGCAUAUUUGUGAUCCUUUGAUGCAAAUAACACUUUGGAAGUUAAUUAGAAACAUAUUGUGCAUCAUUUACCUUAUCAGCCUCAACACGGGCCUCUUUCAUGAUAGCUAGCUGAGCACCCCAACCAAACUAGUGUUAUGUCACUAGACUCACUACCUUCUCGAAUCACCAGAAUUUGAUGCACGCAAUUUCUUCAGAUUUAGUGUACUCCAUCAAUUAUAGAACUAAAAUUAACGUACCUCUGCCUCUGAUAGAGGCAACAUAUAAUAAUGCUCGGGCACCUCUUCGAUGACCAAACGGUAAAGCCACUGAAAAUCCAAGAUAUUUAGAUUAUUAACAAUGUUUCAAAAAAACAUUUGACAAGGUUUUGGAUCCAAUGACUCGAGAUAAAUCAAUGGAGAAUAAUGCAAUACCUUUGAUUCAAGGAAUACAACAGGGUUCAGGUUGCGUAUGGAUGACAAUAACAACCCUUUCGCUUGCCUGGGGCUUCGAGGAAUUACAACCUACAAACAAACUACUCUUGAAGAAAUUGGACAGUGUCUAUAUUUCUACUUGUACAAAAUGCAGGAACAGCUUUCUUAAUCAACUUUGGAAAAUUGAGAAAACAUAAAAGUUCCUCCAAGUAAGCCUUAAAGGUCCUCCAAGUAAGCCCUAAAAGCCAUGUUAGUGUGUCAUAUGGCAUAACCCUAUGAAUCUGGUUAAAACUGAUGGAACUCCCCCAAUUCCAAUGUGCAUUAGUCCAAAUUCUGUUAUUGAAAGUAAUGUCCUUGAAAAAAAAUAUCAAAUGCUCAUAAUCUAACAUGUCAGCACUUUCGUACUUUACCAGAUAUGUGUCCUAGUUGAAGGAAAUUAGUUCUUUGAUCUACAUAAUAGUAAAUGCCUGUAGUUCUUUCUAGGAAUGAAUAAAACAAAAGUUUGAAUUUUCAUCAUUCAGAAAUUAGCAUUGCAUGUCCUUACGAGUUACGACUACUCUUACCAUGCCUCUUUCUUCAAAUGUAAUGCAUUAUAUUUUUACUCAUUCUUGAGAGAAAUGGAUGUCUACCUACAGUUCUUAAAAUAAUCAAGGUGAUGUCAAGCAUCCUUUUUUCUCAAUGGAAGUCACCCAAAUCCUGCACGAUCUAGAUGAUGCUGUGGGGGCAUUGCUCCUUGAGAGAGGGAUGAAAGGAAGGAGCAUACAACAGCACAUUAUAUAACUUGAUUCUAGGAACAUGGCAGAAAAAAGCUUCAGGGGAUUGUGAGUGAUAAUGCUCUCCAUGACCCACAGCUUCAUAAGGUGCUCUUAUUGUCAAACCUGGUAAAUCACAAAGAAUCCUCCGGACGCAAUGGAAACACGAACAAUUUAAAUUGAUACUAAUAAUUUCAUGUAAAAUUACCUCCGCAAUUAAAUUGAUUGCCACUCUGAUAUCUGAAUUUAGCUGCUUCAUUGACAAUCUAUGAAGUAGAAAUCAGUUAGCCAAAUUUCAAUAGUGAGGAUGCACUACAAACUUGCCACCAUGGAUGAUGCAUGCCUGAUCAAUGCGGAUAGAUAUAAUCUGCAAAUUGAAUUUCUAAUUUCUCUGUAGCUCGAUUUGCCUACCCACUGUUGAAUUGACACAAGUUGCAGCUAUCAUGCGAAAUAUUAAGACGAGGAAGGCAAUAAGCAGACUCAAUGGAGGGUUUUGACAUAAAAUCCCCUAUACGAUAAUCUACUAAAGUUUUGAGCUUACAUCACAGCCAGACCAUCCCAAUCCUACGAUGCCCCUGUUUAUUGUAACAUUCAUAAAAAUAAAAAAAAAUAGUUUCAAGAUAAAAGAAAAAUCAGAACAUUGAUAAAAAGAAAUGGAGAACAAGAUCAAUAUAGUAAAAGUAUUGAAUACACGUGAGAUUCUUAUAACAACUCCAUCUUUGAGUUUGAUGUUAAAGUGAAUCAGCUUCCAAACUAGAAAUUCCUUACUUAACCUUCCUAAUUUAGGAAGUACUUGAAAAUGCCUCAGAAAAUUAUAAAGGCCCAGCAAUCUAAGAUAAAGAUUAUACCUAUUCCACAAAGAGGGGUAUUGAAAACUCUCUGUUACCAAUCGAUUCAGCUACCUGUUGUUUAUCUAAAUACCCCAAAGCCCACAUCUUCUCCAAAUACCUAGGCACUAUGAAGAACAGAUUAUUGAAAAGGUAAGUUUCUGUACAGCUGACAAUGUAUGGGUUCGCAUGGUACAAAUAAGCCCCCUGCAUUGUUGGGUUCAGUAUUAAAAAACAGACGGUUUGGCUGAUUUUUCAGGCAUCUAGCAAACUAUGUAAAAACCUGCUUAGUUUAUUAAUGUUGAAUUGUCUAUGGCAUUGUUUUUUUAAUUGGUUGGUUGCUUAAUUGUUGGGCAUUAUUGGGCUUCAGAAUUUCAGCUUUUUGGCCAAAAAAAGAAUAUUUAAAAGCUGAAAAGGCCGUUGCGAAAUAGCAAUCUUCUUUUCAUAAAAGCAGCCAAAAAUUGGGAUUAAAAGUUGAGCCAAAUGGCUUUGCAUAUCUUUGCCAUGUAAAACUAUCAUAACCAAUCUCCACUUCCACCCAUCACCCAACCCCCAUCGACAUAAUGAUGUUUAGACAAGCAUACUUGAUUCAUUGAUGCAGGUAUAACCCUAAUGCGAUAUAUAAAACAAUGUCACAGAGGUGGCAAGCAAGCAGAUUGAACACAAAGAAAAGAAGAUAGAUGCAUGUCACAUGACUAUAAAUAAUACAGGCAUCAUGGUUCGCAUGCAUGUCACAUGACUAUAAAUAAUACAGGCAUCAUGGUUCACAUGCACGUAGAAGAACUAAUGCAUGGUAGUUAUAAUUGUAAAGCUGUUCAAACAUCGGUAAGAAAACAAGUAGCUAAUCAUAAUUGAAUGUGCACUGAUGAGUCAGGGUUGAGGGAAGAUGCAGAAGUUCAAAAAAAAGAGGGGAUAAGUCAGCAAGGCAGUCCCAAAGGUUCAAUGAAACAGAUCUACAGGACAACGGAUAACAACUACCAAGUACAGGCAUGAUGUAAGCACCGACAUCAGGACACGCAAUUUAAAUAUAAAAAAAAGGAUACAGACAUGGCAGGGAUAAGGCAGAAAGUAUAUACUCCCUCCCUCUCACAAUCUCAGUCCCUUUUAGAAGUUUCAAUUUUUUAAGGGGACAUGCAUUCAACACACCUUAAGCUAGAGAACUAAAAACAUGGUAAUACAAAAAAAGAAAAGAAAAGCAACUAACAAACUCACUGACCUCAUCACCAAACUAAUGUAGUUUGAUUUUAGAACUCAACUCUGAAGUAUGAACAUGCAAUAUACAACAAGUAUUGUCCUAAGCGUCCUGAGAUACGUAUGUCAUGCCCAGUACAGGUUAAUAAAGAUUCACCACGAGGCGUGUCUGACAUGCAUUCCGGCACGUCCGACACAUGCCAUACACUGCUACAACAGCUAAAAUGAAGUAUUUGUGCUUCAUAGUCAUUCUCCUUUCAUAAAAUGAAUGUAGAGAAAAGUACACAACUUUUCACAAGUAUUGCACGGUAGAGCUAAUUGGUUAUGCAUAAUGCAUUGUAUGUUUUAAGUCAGUUCCUAAUCAUUUCCUAUAUGUAAAUCCCUUUGCAGUGGAGAAGGCACUGCAGCUAUGAGAGUUGAGAACCAAUCAACUGUGCCAAGCUAAAGGGGGUCUUUUAAGAAUCUUUUACUGAUUAUAGGCACCUCAAAUUCAUAAACUAGAAAUUAAAAAAUAAGCAAUUGGUCCAAACGAAAAGCAGUGACCUUCACCAAGAGAAACAUAAGUUAACUUGGACCAAUGAUUCACAGAUAAUAUCAAUUCACUCGUCUUUUCCCUUAAAUAAUUAUUGGAAACAGAUCUAACUGUGUCAUAAGAAGUCAGCUAGACAUUUAUGCCAUGUUUGAUAACAUAUUCUAAUUUAAUGGGAUUAGCAAUCCAAUCCCAAUUUCCUUAGAUUAAUAGUCCCAUGAGAUUGGAUUAGUAAUACCAACCACCCAUGGGAUUCCUAAUCUCCAUUUUUGGGAUUAACAGCCCCAAUGGACUAUUAGUCCCGAGUUUAACUUUUGUACUAAAACAUGAUUAAAGUGAGCCCCACAACAGACUAAUAGUCCAAUCCCACUCUCAAAAUCUUAUAUCAAACGAAGCCUUAAAGAACAACAAUCCCAAGUAUAAUCUGUUAUAAUCAAGUCCCGAAAUUGUUGAAGCCAAGCGAAAUUACAGAGUACAUAGUAGAAAUGAAUACACACGUAUCUGUACAGAUUAUAGGGUAAUGGAGGGGAUACUGAUUGUAGGCAUAUCAAAAACAUAGGAAACUGAGUCAAAUGAAAAACGGGGACCUUCUUCACCAAUACAAAAAUAAAUUAAUUUGGCACCAAUGGAUCACAUAUAUGAUAUCAAUUCAUUCUUCUUUCCUCCUAAAUAAUUCUUGAAAUCAGAUCAAAACACGUCAUAAAAAGUCAGCUAACCAGUUUAAGAGCAAUAAUCCCAACUAAAAUCUACAAUCUAUCUAAGCCAAGAGCAAAUUAUACAUUAGAUAGCUAAAAUAAACACAUAUAUAUACAUGCAAAACCCAACCAUAUAUAUACAGAAUUGAAUUAAAGAGAAAAAGUAGUCGUAAAAGGGUAAUUGAACAAAAUGUAUGUAUAUACCGAGGAUCAGAAUCCAAGGUUAUGUGAAGGGCUUGGUUAAUUGCAGAGAAGAGUUUGCUGCCUGAUGGGCUUUCCUCAAAUUUCUGGCCAUUUUCAAUUAAACAGAUUUUGUACAGAUAAAGAGAGAAAAGGUCGAUUGAUUGUAGUAUUGAACACUACUCUACGUUCCAAACAAAACUUCGAACAAUACCGUGUCGACUUAAAGCGAAACGGAUAGAUAUGUGGGUAUGUAAACUUCUUUAUAUCUUUAAGACUGUUUGUAUAAUAGUAUUACCUACUUAAAUUUUCAAUUAAAAUAGAUUUUCGUCAUUUUAAAAUUAAAAUUAAUAUUAAUUUUUAUGCUACAUACACCUCUUUAGAAUUAAACUCAUGUGUUCAUCCUUAAAUUAUCACCCAAUUGUACGCUAAUUACAAAUUUACAACACCAAUGACGUAUCAAAUUCACGUUGUCUCAUUUAAGUACAGACGCAUAAUUUUAAUGUUACUUCAACCGUUGCUGUUCUAUUAUGUCCAUUUCUGGUGAAACCUAUCCCAACAAUUAAUUGUUAUUAUUUUGAGUAUGAUUUCAUGUGACUUGCAGUACACACCUUCACUUUGUCAAAGACUCGUGGUCAUUGUGUUCUUGAGUUGAGUAGUGUUUAAUCCAUCUAACCAAAAAGAUGAACGCAAUGCAAGUGUGCGGCCCCCCACCAGGUCCAUAACCAUCUGUAAGAAAUAAUUCUCAAUCUAUUUUAGUUGUACUAUUUAAUGUCCAAUUACACAUGUGUCUUUUUUUUUUACUUAUUAUUUUCCUAUGCCAACAAAAAUUUACAUGUACAAUCGAAAAAAUAAUUAUUCAUUCAUUAUAUUUACGCUUCCAUACCUAAUUUUUCUCCUUAUAUAUUCUUAGGCUUCCAUACCUUUUUGUUUGUUAUUAUUUUUGCUUCCAAACUCCUAAUUCAACACAGCCUUGACUAGAUUAAGAUCGUGAUGGUGGUACAGGAAAAGCUAACUACUCGUCCAGGACAAUCAGAGGAAAGUCUUAAUAUUGCAAAAUCACCAUGGGUUCUUUAUGAAUGAAUGGAUAUGAAUCCUGUAUAGUUUCCUUUCAUGUGUAUCCGUUGUUAUGAGAACUUUGACAAUUGAUCUUUGCAAGAUUUACAUCAAAAAUGAGAGACGAGAGAGAGAGAGAGACAAAAAUACUAUUAAUUAGACAAUGCGACCACAAUUCUAGAAAGAGAAUGAUUGAAGGCACGAGACGCGUGAUUAGUUCAUUGCCUGGACAAAAAACACUUGAGAUAAGCAGUUUUUAACACACAACAACUACAACUGCUUUGGUAUUGGAAGCGUUUCUACAUUCAAACACAAAUAUUAUUAUUAUUAUUAUUGUCAAACACAAUUUUAAUUUAUAACAACUUUAUAUUGCACUACAAUUUUUCCCACCUUGCAGCUUCUAGCUCUCUAAAAACACAGCAACAAAAGCUCCUUUGGCAACAACUAGACACUCACUAGACUAAGAUUUACAAAUGAGAUGGGACAUAAUAUAAGGCCAAACUAUUAAAUAAAAGGUGAUAGUCCAAAAAAAGAAAAAGGGAGACAAACAUUAACACGGGAAAAGAUAUUAAACCAACCAAGGUAAAUGGAAAGGAAAACGGAAAGACAAACAAAAAAACGCCAGGAUACCACCCCGAGACACUGUCAGAACUAACCGCUACAAGACCCCUAUCCAUCAUGAGAAGAAAGAGGCUCCCACUUUCAUCAUUCUACGAAAUAGAGCCCGCCUCACCACUUUCCAUGCCCAUUCAUUUUGUUAAUCCAAGAAAGCAGCAAGGCCGAUCACGCAGGGUGGCCCAACCGAGAAUUAGCCAGCUUUUUUUUUUCCCACUGUAUAUCAUUAUAAACCAGCAAGAUAUCUCUGGACAGAUGGAGCCCGUAAAACAUCAUAGGCCACCCGUCAAGACAAAGCUAGCAACCAUUUGUCAGAACUCCUAUUCUCAGACAUGGAGCUGAUUCAGCACCGUUGUAGUUGUCUCCACAUUUUGCAACGGUUACGUUUUUCUGAAAGAUUAACAUCCCCACAUUAUGAACAGGGAAUUAGACUCGCCACCAAAUUCAGAGGCACAUCUGUUUCAGUUUCCCCAUUUGCCCCUUCUUUGUUUCUUUUCAAUCAAUUGGCUUCCCUUCCCAUACCUGUAAGGACUUUUCAUUAGGACCAGUAAACAGAUCAGCUUAGGUCUUACAAAUAUCUCGAAAAAAAAUAAUUUAGAGUGUCAAAUGGAAUUUCCAUAACAUAACAGGGAAAAAGUAAACCUGACUAAUUAAUAGGAUUGGCUGGCCAUCUCACACUGACAAAUUAUACUGAAUUGUACUAUUUCAUAUGACGGCAUAAUAUUCGUCUUGGCUGCUUUGGAACUGCUGUUUCUUGGCCUUCUUCUCCUGAAUUGUAUUCUGGCGCCCUCGUAAAAUCAAAAUCCAUCCACGAUGCAUGUCCUGCUAGAAUGUCCUUAAAUAUUUUGAGCAUUUAGCCCCUGCUCCAAUUUGACCUACAUAAAUCGCAUGGAACUUGGGAUUAAAAAAAGAAAUAACAAACAAAACAAAUAAAAAAGAGCCACCAGAAAAACACAUACCUCUUGAGUAUCCCUACUGUUAGUGACAGGUUUGUUCUCGUUAUUCUCCAGAGUGAUGUGCUUCAACAGACUAUUGGGCACAUCCUUUACAAUGUGCCACUUGACAGGGAAGCAACCAUUCCAUUUGUCUUGCUGCCAGUACUCAAAAUUCUUGUGGAAAUCAACAGGCCCUACCAUCUCUGCAAUACCGACAAAUUGUCCACUAGUAUUGACCUACUCACAACAGUUCAAGAUUAGUUGCUAAACCAAGCGAAGUCAAGAAAGAAAAAAUCCUAAUAAAGCAAUCAAUGUAACUGCUUACUGAGAACAAGAGAAAAACAGGGCAGCCACUAGACUUCUGCUGAGCCUCCUGGUAUGCUGCAUCAAGCUUUUUAUUGCCAUUUGGAGUGCUAGCCCACACAUUAUACUUGAUGCUCUUGUGGACAUCAUCCUCACUAUAUGACUUAAUGAUGAAGAAUUUCGCAUCUCUAUAACUUUCAGGGAAAUCUGCUUUGUUGUAUUGUUCUCGAUCUGGAAUCAUGCUUACCUUGUCCUUCUCAUCAAUAUUUGUUGCAUGCAACGGGAUGUUCUGCCCUUUCACCGCCACAAGAACCGGAGUAAACCCCUUUUGGUUCUUACUGCUCUUUGCUCUUGGUCCCCUGUUUAGCUCAUUCAAGCCAUCCACAUUCUCAUUGCCGUAACCAAAGAAACCAUUGUUUCGCCCCCUGGGUUUGUACUUGCUAUCAACACUCAACCACUCACGUCCAUGUGUUCGUGAAUCAUAACUAUUAGAACCAAAUGGAAAACCGGAUCUGAAGGUGCUCCCAUACUGGCCAUACAAUUUGUUUGGGUACAUCCCAUUCACAUAUCCAUUACCUGUGUUCAAGCCAGACAUUGGUCUCGGUUGGUGCAAACCCUGCAAAUACGAUGAGAAGCUUCCUAUCAGACAAAUUCUAUGCAUAAAAUCAAUCUAGAAAACAUGGAUCAUAAAAUAAUUUCAAAGCAAGUUUCAAAAUAUCCAACUGAUCAACAUUAUAGAACAUCACAAUAAAUAAAACUCAGUUUCACUAAUCAGACGAAAGCUACAUUAAAAGUUGAAUCUGCUGCUAUUUACUCCCUAAAUGGUUUUAGAGAGGAUCAACCAAUUCACGUGGUUCACAACCUUCCAAUAUGAAUCCAAAUUCAAUGACUGAACUGACUUGAGGAGUUCAGGUGCUAAUUCAUCCUUUUCUAUAUGGAAAACCGGUAUAUAUUUCACAGCACUAGCUGUCUGCAUCAAAACAAUUGCCUUACAUGGAAUAAGAUAACAUACCACAAGAUGAGAAUGAGGACGAUAAUUCUGACUCUUUGAUGAAGGUGUGCUGUUUGCAACCGAGAUUGAUGAAACCAUUGAUGUGGUAUUCACAGGCCUAGGCUGCCCGUCAGGAAAUAUUGGGGCAUCCAACCAAGGGAUGGGAGACCUUAAACCAUCAAAGCUAAAUCUGGGAUCUUGAAAUCCAGAUGCAGGAAGUGCUCCAGGCAGACCACCCCUUCCAUAAGAACCAUUUGAGUUAAAUGAUGAAUUCUGAUAUGUUUGUUUUUUGGGUGCAGGUCCAUUAUUUCCCUUUCCGACCCCACUGUUAGCAAUGCCAUUUGAGUUUCCAUUAGCAGCUCCCACGGAUAAAGGUGUUUGGUCAGCAUCUAUAGAGGUGGAAAUCUCGCCUUUAGGAGGAACAACUGAAGGCGGGUUGUAAGGCGCACUAGUUGGAGUCAGGGAUUGGAAAUAUGGAGUUGGAUACUGGUAACUCUGAGCCCCAUAUAGAUGCCCAUCGUGUCCCAUAGUUGGAACAGGGGAGGCAGCUGGUGAAUAAGGGCCAUAGGGUGCAUACCCAUAACCCUGGUGAUACAUAAGCGACCCGUUGUCCCCAUAGACACCCUGCCAAAAGUGUAACAAACAACGUUAGAUCACAAAUUACCAUGAAUAUGAUCCUGAAUCCAAACAUGACAACCCAAUUAUGCAAUUGUAAAGCUAACUGAUACAUGCUUUCAAUCACAUUUCAUAACUGCACUCAACUCAACAAGUCUUUGUCCCAAUUGACUGGGCUACAAGGCUUUAUUUUUUCCAGUUGAAGCUAUUCAAAGUCAAUAUAUUCAGAUUAAUCGUGUCGUUUUCAUUUACCUCCGUCCAUGCGGAUCAAACAUUCGACACAGGAGCAUUAUUUCAACAUAGACCAAAAUUCAAAUUAUAAUAACAGCAAAAGCAGAAGUAAAAAAAUCAAAGCACACUUACAGCAGGCAUUUCAACUCCCUCCGGAUUUAAAUAUCUUGAGUAGUCAUCCCAAUCAUUAGCAGUAUCAUAACCUGGAAAAAAGAAAUGUUCAGUAAAAUCAUUAACAAACCGUGAUUACCCUUUUUAAUAUAGAAAUCAUCAAAGAGGAAUAGUAUAACUAUCCAUUCCUCAUAAUAUGUACAAUUCAAAAUAAAAUAGUACUAUCCUCCAACCAAUUCAAGUUAUAGUUUUAUAGUCCGCAACAGAACUUAUGGACUCAAAGAAAACAACUUACUUCCAUAAUAAUAUGGAUAACUAUUGGGGAAAUAAUACAUGGAUGGAUCCACGAAAUCCUGCAGUAAUGGCGUCAUAGAUCGAUCAUACAACUGGAUCUGAGCAUUUGUAGCAUCACCUGACUCAGCAGAAGGCUGUGCAGAAAAUAAUGAUAACUUUAAGUCAAUCAUCCAUAACACCAGCUUAUUCCUAAGAUAUGCUGAAAAUAAAGACAAUCACCAAAAAGUAACAGGAGAAGAGUUGCACAUCACCUUCUUUGUAGGCUCAGGAAUUUCUAGGGUCUUGGCUUGAGAAUCCAAUGAUAAUUUUUGCAGCAGAUCUGUAGCUUCUAAUGAAAUACAAGUGAAGGAAAAUCCACAAUUUUCAGAUAGCAAAACAUAGAAAUAACAGAACAUAACCAACUUUCCCUCAAUCCAUGUCCAAAACUGAACCAAACAGUCUUACUUAUAUAUUACCAUUUUGGUUCUCUCCUGUCCGAGUAUGGACCGCAAGAGUCCAGUCCAGAGCAUAAAAUUGUAAUACAUCGACUCUUUACAUAAAUUAAAGGCCCGGAUUUGUCAAACACUCGCAAAAUCAAAAUUGGACAAAAAGUCGGGGUUAAUGAGUAGAUUAAAUUUAGACCUUUCAUUUACAAAAAAAAAAUGUGCCUAUCUUGGGACCUGACUGGAAAUAAGGCAACUUUAUGUGAAAUCUCUGAAUCCAGAUCUUGGAGCAAAAUUACAAUAACAAGUAGUCCAUUUCAGCUAACAAAAACACAAAAAAAUAAUCUUUUUUCUCAAUAGAUGAUCUUUUCAAAAAGCCUCCACUCAAUAAGAGUAACAAUCACAAGCAACAUCAGACUAGUAAAAACAUAAGCAAACCAGAUACACCAAAUCAAACAACAGCAGCAGCAAAACCGAUCCAUAUAAAUAACAAUUCCUCCAACUUCUCAAAUCAUAUCAAAUCUAUGCAAGAAUUUCACACAUCUCAUGUCCAAUCAGUUAUAGACUCAAACAAGAAUUCCUAAAAGAUCUCCAAUAUUCAAAUCCAGACCCUAGACAGCAAAGAAGAUACACCCCUACUAGAUCCAUAUUACUGUCCAUCAAAAACAUCGUGAAAACAAACAGAACCAAAUCGUAUAUACAAAAAGCCUGUUGGAUCUAGAAAAUCAGAUCCGCUAAGAAUUCGAAGAAAAAGGCAAAAGUCAAAUGUAUCCGAUAGAGCUUGGUAAGGAUACAUCUGCGGGAGGAGCCAUGGUGGCCAUGAGCGAUCUCGAAGGGACGAUGGUCUAAAACCCUAAAUCUGAUUGAGGUUUGAGGGGGAAGCGUGGAGAGGGAGACCCGGCGGAAUUCGCCGCCAAGCGAGGGAUGACUUUGGGUUUAGAGAGAAAGAGGAGAGAGGGAGGCCGGGGUUUUGAUCCAUCCAAAAGUGGUGAUUCAAAUAGCCCACGGUUUCACAGACACCCUGCCCCUCUCUAUUCUCUGUAAUUCCUUUUGGGUGCCCCAAUCGACGUCCCCUGCGGGUGAUACUAUUACGUCUCGUUUUGAUUGUUUAUUGCUGCAAGGUAUGCCACGAAGGGCAGCGACCACACCACAACUUUGCUCCUUUGACCUCUUGAGAACACAAUUUGUCUGUGAGAUCAUACUCGUACGCAGCAGGUGAGUUUGUGAUUCCAGCUGUCACCAUUCCUUGGGGGCCAAAGCCCUCCCACCCAUGGAAAAAAUUGGACAGAAAGGCUCAUUCACCGGAUGGUUUCCGAUUUGUUCCCGAUGGAACCAAAACGACGUGCGGUUUGGUGUUAAAAAGUUUUUUUAGUUGCAUCACGGUAAAGAAUCAAUUAGUUGAGGAAAAAAAAAAAAAAAAAAAAAACGUCGUUUUAGAUUUUUUGCAUCAAAACGACGUCGUUUUGGUCUAUCAGUAAUAAAUCGGUAAAACUAUCGGUGACUGUAGCAUUUCUCUAAAUUUGGAAGCCCCCGUCCUAAAAGGCUUAUUGGUCUUGGGCUUGCUUGACAGAGGGGCUCAUUUCUUUUCUUUUUUCUUUUUUGUUGAUGACAUGUCCCAAAAUAACACAAUAAAAUCAUGGCACGGAUUUUGGAUCAUCUGAAGUGUAUGUUGUGUGGAUUAUUCUGGAGCGUACACAACACGUUCACUUUCUACAUUCCAUAUAAACACACACAUUCGAGGAUCCGAACUCCCCCCAAAGGAGUCAUGAUAAGGAACCAAAAUAUUAAAAAUAUACCCAAGACUCAACUCUAACACCCCGUUUGGAGGUGGAUAUAGCACCCGGCUUUAAUCUCACCCGGAUUUAUAGCCCGUCCCAACUCAAACCGACAUUUAGGGGAGGAGGCUGUCUACCCUCGCUGUGGUAGCUGUUUGCGAUACAAUCCCAGUGCCCUCGUUUGUCAACGACGGCCUCCACCCCAUAGUGGGGGGGCGUCGGGGGGGGGGGUGGGGGGGGGGGGGGGGGGGGGGGGCUAAGCAAAGCUACACCGAGUUUGUACUUUGUCCCUCUUUUACCCCUUCCAAACCAGGAUCUUUGUGCUGUGUUUCUUUGAUUUCGUUUUGCCCUAAUUUGACACCCUUCCAUUUGUGCCGAAAGGUUUAGUAGCCAACGGGUAAGUUUAACCCAUCUCGUCGUUUCUUGAUGGUUUGCCCUAGUUUUUGAGAUAUAUUUGGUUAAAAUUGUUUGCAUAAGUGCUAUGCGUUGCUGCGUCCUCUAUGGUUUCGAUUUGCCCUAAUUUUGGUUUCGGGUUUGCACCUAAUCUUUGAUUCGAGGGUUUGGCUUUGAAUUUGGUGAUGGAUUUGGAGUGUUGUGCCCUAAUGGCGUGCUAUAAUUUCAGGUAAUUUGUGGUUUGUCCUAAAUUUUCACUUUGGCUGGGUUGCCCUAAUUUGCGAAUGGAUGUUUGCCAUAGGCAUUGUUCAGGUUUUAUCCCUUUCAGUAAACACCAAAAUAGGACAAACCUAAAACUCACCUCCCAAGAGAAGCUGCCGAAUUUCUAUUUUCUACUUUAUGUGGAAGUUUUGCCCUUUUUCGAACCACAAAAUCACACCACAAUAAUGUAUUGAAACAGAGCAAGACUAACGCAGCGUGAACGAUGAGGAAGGGUCAAUACGUAAAGUUGUCUAUAAAUGUUAUGCAUGAUGAGAGUAAUGAACACUAUAUUAUGCUUACAUGUUAAUUAUGGACUCAUGAGGUUCGCGAGGGGCCUUGUAUUCGAUUAACCCAAAUGUUUACAAAAUAAGUGGAUGCAAUUUAAUAGGUUAGUACGCGGUGAUGGAAAAAGCUUGCACGAUCAAUUGAGGGUAAAUAGGCUACAUAGAGUGUGCCAUUUACUUGAAGAAAAACGGUUACAAAAACUCUAGGAAAGUUAUACUUGUGAAAAAGUGGCUUAAUGUCUAUGGAUCCUCGGGCUCAUAACAAGAAAUACGGCCAACGAUAGUUCCAAUUUUUGAGGUCCGGGGGAAACAGUUCGUAGGCAUUUUACGCAGUUUUGUUGGCGGUUACGACUGUACGCUCAAAUUGUGGUAUCGUCCACCAACCUGUUUCUUGCUAAUGAUCCGUACCCAACCUGUUUACGCUCAAUAGUAGGCGGGUUUUAUUGCAGUUUUUUAGUGUGGAUUAAACUGUGAGGUAUAGUUGUAUUCUUUGGUGGAUUUUGGGUUGAUGUUGUGCCAGUUUUUGACCAAUUGUGUGCAAAUUUCUGUGCACUUUUAAUCUACUGAGUUAUACAAUUUUUUUUUCGCAGUUGUGGGAUUAGUUUGUGCAUUUGCGGUGCAGUUGUUUGGGUUUGGUUUGUAGUUUUUUGGGUGGAUUUGCUGUGCCAAUUGGUGUGAUUUGCUGUGCAAGAUUAUUUUUGAUAGUUUUCUGGGUUCUUUUUGUGUGCAAAUUUUGUGCACUUUUUCUCAACCAAUUUAAGUUAGGCACUGACUGAGUGGCUGAUGAAGACAAUGGCUGAAUAACCAUUGGCAACGGAGUUGGGCAGCAAAUCCACCCAAAGGUAUGUGGGCCUUAUGAUGCCAAUGGGUUAAUAACUAGUUGACAAUCUAAAAGUUAUACUAAGUAGUGCAUUAUGAGCCCAACAAAAAUAAGUCAGGCCAAGUUAGGCAUAAAUAAUGCCUAGAAAACUGCACAAAUGUUUACACAAACUGGAUAGUUUGUAGUUACUUGAUUCUUAUGCAUCAAGUAAGUACUCCUAAUGAUGCGGUAUGAUAUCAAACUAUUUGCGUCAGUAUGUUCAUAUAUUGUUAAAGGAUAUGAUGAUAUUGAUUUGUUAGGCAAAGCACACGUAUAUGUUUGCAGGAAUGUGAGGGCCAACGGUUGAGUCACCGUUUGGGCAACAUAAUUGUAAAUAGCCGUGUGUGGUAUGUACGGAGAAAUUAUAAAAAUUUGAGCCCCGUACAUAUAUAAAAAGAAUUGUGUUAGUAUUUGUUCCAUUAAAACGUGAGCAUUGUUUAUUUUUUUCGAAGAGCCUAACACUGGCAGGUAAAAAUACAGAGAAUACAUUUUGGGCUGGUGUUUGUUGGACAUCGGCAGGGAAUUACAACAAUUGUUUUUUAGGAGGCGGCUCAAGUCCAAGUCAAUGGAUAUUCGAGGAGUUAAUGGAAAAAGUACAACACAUUAGAUGAUGCUGAAAUAGCAUGCCUUAAUUUUAAUUCGGCGCAUUUAGUGUAAAAGCCGUGCAAUAGAAACAAAGGAAUCGUAAAAUAACAAUGACGGGGCGUAACCUCCGCAAAUUGACGAAAAAAACUCCAGCUCCUUAUUGAAUUUCUUCUUAGGUUUUCUAGCUUGUAUUUGUUAUACGUAUUUUCGAUUCGAAUGAAUAUGUAUGUGCCAAGUCAAUUAUGUCAAACGAUUGGCUUUAUUGUCAUUAGAAAAAAGUAGUAUGUAAGUGUAAUAUAUUUCUAUGUUUCAAAUUAUAAAAAUGGUUCCAUUAUUAAAAACAAAGUAGACAAAUAAAAUUUUAAAUUUUCAUUCCAUGAUUUUUAAUGAGCAGAUUAUUUAUCAUAAAUAGGGUUGGAAUAUUUCUAUUUUAUUAAAUGUGUAUUUUUUUUUAUUAUUAUGUAAGUAUGGUUAUUACAAACAAAAUCAAACCAUUUAGUCAUGAAAUUAAUACAGGGGGGGGCAAAUAAGUCAUUGCUAUAAAUCCACCAUCAAAUCCCCCUAAUCAAAAUAACAUCAACAGUCUACUAACAAAUUCACCAUUCUUCGAUGUGGGGUCACACCUCUUUACAAUCCACCUUUUACACUACCUAAAUCCUCCGGUCGCCCAAAACGGGGUGUAAGGAGUUCUGACUCCUAGGCAUGGAAGGUACUAUUUAUCUAGAUUAUAAUUAGUUUUACUAAAAUCCAAAUCCUCUGUAAUGGACUUGUUGUAUUUCAUGGAUUUUAUGACUUGGAAUUUUCUUUUAAUAAAAAAAUUUAAUAGCAUGCUGGAAGCCUUGCUCAAAUCAACAUUUCUUCACAUCUUAAUAGCUAAAAAAAAACAAAACACAAAUGUGUCAUAAUUCGUAAAUAGGAGUAAUAGUAUCCACAAAAUUCAAAUACUUUACAUCUUUUAUGCAAUCCUAUCAAGGCGUUCUUUAAAACUAAAAGUUAAACAAACUUGUGCUUCCUUUUGUUUUCGGUGGGUUAGAAUGGUGAAAAAGUUAAUAUGAUCCGUAAUUUACAAAUAAAGACUCAUUACCAAGCUAACUAUGACAGCUCUAACUCGCUAGGAAAUUAGAAUUGUUACAAAAUUUCACAUGGAUUCGAUAUAACAGCCAAAGCUUUAGAAUUGGAUACAAAAUUUUCCAUAUGAUAAAAAUAGGUGAGAAAUUAUUUUCAUGGCUGUAUCCUUUCCUUAUAAGUUUCCUCCUUUGUUUUAUUUGAUUUUUAUCACGAUCUGCCAUCGGUAGUUUCUGGUGUCUUUGGUCCUUCUCCUACACCAAGUGGUUCCCAGUUGGGUUAUUUUGCUCUUGUUAUCCAGCCAAACACUCUCUGGAUUCCACUUGCAUUCCAUAGCCUACUGAAAUCAAUAGAAAAGGCAAAGUUCCAUACAGGAUGCAUUCAUUUUCUGAUGACCCAUAAUAGCCAAUUGCAAUAGCAGAUUUUGAGCAGAGCAACCAUCUCAUAUGUACUAGCUUGACAAUCAAAUUUAGAAAUGACGAAAAGUCGAAAACCAAAGACGUAAAUUUGAAAUUUGAAUAGGCAAGCAAAAUAUCACACUUGCAUUUCGUUUCCUUUUUCAUUUACCCUAGAAUUAGAUAGGGCAGUAAUGAAGGAACAUUGUAUACAAACAGAAGUAGAUACUUUAUUGUCAAAAGUAGCACCCAAACAAAACUCCAGAGGGUAAAAGCAACAUCAAGAGGAAACACAAAUCAGUGGGCUCUAAAUGUUCGCCUUAUCAACUGCGGAAUCAUCCCCAUAAAUAGUACUAGCAGUGCCGACAAGCACAACCAGUGGACUCCUAACAGAGUGGAACCCAUCAGACCACACCAGCUCACCAAAAUCAUACCUCCCUUGAGAUUUCUUCAGUGGCUUGAAAGUCGCAUAGUGUGACACUUCUUCCCUAAAACAUGAAAAUAUCAAUACCCUUGGCCACACCACAACCUCCAUGCCAUUAGGCUUCACAAUCCUUGCAAAAUAGAUGGCUGCUUUCUUCCACCCAACGUUGCAAACAAUCCUCUUGAUGGUCACCGUAGACUGGAGAUUUGAGACCGUUAUGGAGGGGUAAUUCAGGUUUUCGUUGUAUAGGUAUGACCCUUUGAGGCAGCUCAAGAUGGUACUUGGGGAGAGAGUAACAAUGCUGUUUAUUUGGUCUAUGGUGUAGCCAAUGUUGCAGGGGAAGAGAAUGUAAUAGCUGGUUUUCACGUCAUAGACUAGCCCUGGAUCCAUUGCUCUCAAUGGAUCGAAGUGGCCAGCGCCAAUGUCAAGCGGAUCAGCUGCUUUCGCUAUGCCCCCGAAUAAGAUACUGUCCUAGGUUGUGUCGCUUGUGUAAGCUUUAACAACAAAGAGAAAGAGCAGGUCAGUAGGAGUUAUUGAAUGUAAAUUAAAUGCAUUUUAAGAACAUUAGUUGAUAUCAUAAUAAUAGGUACUCUUACUUAAGGUGAAAAUAUCGUAAGCAUUUGCUAAAGCCCUUGCAAAAUAGUGAAACAAACAGGAGUUUCGAGUGGCAUGACUUUUGUAUUUUCAUCUAUUGUUCAAAAUAGUGAACUGUUCCAGAAAUUGUUCCAGGAAACUUUUCUAAAAUCAUUCCUCUUAGGGGCACUUUUAAGUUGUUUUCUGAAUGGAUAAUGAUUUUCACAUUCCCAUUUUCUUUAAUUGCACUCCAUUUUUUUUGUCUUUAUUAAGUGAAAUUACCCAAAUGCCCUUAUAUGUGGCUAAAACAGUUAAGCAAAAGUAAUUUAGAAAAUAUAAAUACAACGGUAUUUGGGGUAGUUUUAUCUAAUACAGAAAAAAAAAACGAGUGCAAUUGGAAAAAAAAUGAGAGCGAAAAUCAUCACCCUUUUGGAAUUUCACAAAAAAGUGAAACUUAUGGAAAUUUUCAGUCUGUUUAAUAUAUUUGUUCUGAAAAGGUGGAUAACAAAGCAAAAAACAAAAGCAAGAAAAAGAAGGUGAUACCAAACGGGGAAAUUGCCAAGAUUAGUUGGACAGGUAUGGAAACAAAUUUUCCUUAAAUUUCAUCUGGUUCCUCCAAAUGAGGCUAGGUUUUUAUGUAUCAACAUCAAAAGUAAAGGAAUUCGAGUUGGUUUUCAGUUGUAAUCGAAUGAAAUGUUACACUUUUGGGAGGACAAGUGGAGGUCAUUCUUUUCUUUGGUGCGCAAAUGGUGUGAGGUUCCUAAUCACCUCUGCCUCACAUGAUGAAAUGAAUGCCUAUAAAUAUGUGUGACCAGACUAUUUAAGUGGGGACCAACAGCCUUUUGGUUCUAGAUCUCAUGCAUGGUCCAUGUCCUAAUAUCAAAGCAUCUAACAAAAUGGUGCAGAAGGGCUAUGAUAAUUGUGAUAUAUUUUUUUCCUUGUGUUUACCUGUAGUCAAUAGAGCGGAUCUGAUAGCUGCAGGAGACCGAUGAGGGUGUGCUGAUUUGAGGAGGGCUACUACUCCUGAUACAUAGGGCACGACAUUGAAGUCCCCGACAGAAAAUCCCAGUUCACAGACCGCCCAUCGAUUGGCAUCGAAGUGGGUGGGGUUUGGGGAGGCCAUGCUACUAGUAUGUUGAUCCCUGGAGCAGUUAUGUCGGGCUGUUUUGUGAAAGAUAUCAAUCUAAGUGAUUUAGGAGAGAGUACGGAUAAGUAUAAAACAACAAGAUAUGGACAAACUUCUCGUGAUCAUUGAGGUUUCAGGGGAUGCUGAAAUGUUGUUUCUACUUUUGAUAAAAAAAGGAACUCCGUUCUACUGAAAAGUUGAGCAAAGGAAGAAAGAAGAAAGUAAAGCCUCUCCCUCAGUCUAGUAGUAUUUAAUCACACUCGCUCCACACAACCUCUCCCCACAAACAAAAUGCCUUUAAAUGCCCCAUACUUAUUAGUAUCUUAAUCAUGCAGCAACAACUAUACCUUUUAAGUUAAAAGGCCCACCACAAAAUAAAAUCACAAAUAUAUAAUAGAAAUAGAAAUGAAACACCUCAAGAAUAAAAAUACAACCAUUUGAACUGCACAACACGCAUUGAAUUAGAAAGAGGUCUGUAUACCUUGAGAAUAUCAGGUGAAAGUGAGCUAGGCCCCCUGGAAGAAAACAAAGCAACUGUAGGUGCUGGUGACUGUUUGAUGACCGUCUUACCUGCUGAUAUCUGCACUACUGGUUGCCUUCAUUUUGCAUUACAUUUUGUUAGAAGCCUUUGUAAUAUAAGCACAGUUGACAACAACAACAACACAGCAUCAUUUCUACUUAUUUUAGGACAAGAACCGAUAGCACACUGGGUUUAAUGAGUUUAGUAGUUAGGUGAAGAUGUAAUUGGUCCCUAGGUAUGUGAACGCUUGCCUUACAACCUUAACUGCGUGACAUAUUGUUUAAAUUUCAAGAUCCAUUAAGGAGAAAAAAAAAAAGAAAGGAAUUUGAAAAUAUCAAACUAGUCUUGUGAGAUCUACAUGUUAUUAAGCUUUAUGAACGGAAAAUACUGUCGAAAAGUGACUAGAAAGGGGAGGUUACAUCAGUCUCUCCAUGCUUAAAUAAAAUCACAGUUGCUACAAGCAGCUAGCUGUGAUUAAUCUGUAAAUAUCCAAUGAUAUGUUACGCUUGGUUAUGUUCACUUACUUGGGAGGCAGAACAAGAUAAUGAAAGAGCUGAGUCCCUUGGAUAAUGUCUACAAGAACGGGGGGGAUGAUAUCCACAUCAGGAACCUGCCUGCUGAGAGGCUCGACAAAUAUCAAGGCUGAGGCAUUAGCCCUCCAUGCAGCUUCUUCUGCCACACCAAUUUACGCUGGUCCUACUAUGGAGAAACAUAAUAGUACCUUCCCUAAAGCUGCUUUCCUUAUCCAAUUCUGAGUCUUGCAAACCCUAUUAAGUUAUGAUUGGAUUGACAAUCUUAACAACUGAAAGCCAUGCACAGACACACACACACACACACACACACACAGAGAUGUUACCCAUUAGUAAAAUAAUCACUUGCAUCCACCAAUUUUGCCUUUAUUGGUUUGACCGUGAAGCUUUCUCCCUGGACAAACAGGAGUCAUAUAAGCAUUCGUACUGCAUGAUGUUACCCACCGUAGUGUGAAGAACAAGAUCAUAAUCUGAUUACUCAUGUUUAUAGUAUACAGAUAUUGUGCAACAAUUCAAGAACCAUUGAGGGUGGAGUGGAGUGGUACGGGAUAAGGAAUAGGUGGUGGAAACAAAUGGUUUGAACAGCUUUAAUGGCAGAACUAAUCUAUUUACCAUGAAGGAGAGUUUACUAUCCAGUAAUAUCUUGCUUGGAAAUGUUCGAUCAAUAGAUGGAGCCGCCAUGCAAAGGCUCCACGGUGCAACAUUCUGCACUAGAGAUGGAUCUGGUCCAUCAUUCCCUGCCGAAAACACCACACUAACACCCAUCUGCAUGGCAUGAAAUGAACCAAUAUCAGCAAAUGGUUUGAACAGCUUUAAUGGCAGAACUAAUCUAUUUACCACGGGAUAAGGAAUAGGUGGUGGAAACAAAUGGUUUGAACAGCUUUAAUGGCAGAACUAAUCUAUUUACCAUGAAGGAGAGUUUACUAUCCAGUAAUAUCUUGCUUGGAAAUGUUCGAUCAAUAGAUGGAGCCGCCAUGCAAAGGCUCCACGGUGCAACAUUCUGCACUAGAGAUGGAUCUGGUCCAUCAUUCCCUGCCGAAAACACCACACUAACACCCAUCUGCAUGGCAUGAAAUGAACCAAUAUCAGCAAUAGAUGCAAAGAAUAGAGGCAGUGGCGUUGAUACACCAAAAGAACCUGAUAUCACUUGGACCCCAUCAUGUAGCGCAUCAUCAAAUGCCACCAUUAUACCGGCUUCACUACACCUCCCAACAAGGUUUUUACUCCAACAAAUUUUGUACACUGCUAGUCGUGCCCUGGGGGCUCCUCCCCUAGCAGUGCCUUGUGCAAAACCGAAAAAGCUUGCAUUUUUAACAAUAGAUCCAAUUGCUGUUGAAGCUGUGUGAGUCCCAUGCCCAUCAAAAUCUCGAGCUGAUCGGUAUUCUGAGUUGCUGCUUGCGUUUAGAGGCCCAUAUUCUUCCUCAAACCCUUUGAGGUAGUAGCGAGCACCAAUUAGCUCCCGGUUGCAAGCUUUUGCUGGUUCAAACUUCUCUCCUGGAACACAUUUUCCUUCCAAGAUUUUGGAACUGGCCCCGUGCCAGGCUUUUCCUUGAAGCUAUCAGAUUCCGGCCAAAUAUCUAGCCAAUCAUUAUUAGAUGCAUUAGUAUAUUCAAAAUAUAGAUAAUAUUGCAUGCAAUAUUUAAAAGGGGAUCACUAACAAGAAGUUAGGUCUUUUUCAUUAAAUUUCUGACCAUCAAUUAAUCUAAAAGCUUAAGUUGUUAGAGAGUGAUAAUUUUAUUAUAGAGAAGGGAAAAAAAUGUAAUGUCAAUCCAUAACCAGUUGCUUAUUAUAAAUUGACACUCUGGUGUAUCAAAAGGGCCACUAAGUUUAGAAGCUGCAUGUUUUCAUUAUUAUUAUAUCAACAUGAAGGGAUUAUUAAUCAUUUGAAUAAGCACGUAUAGUCAAAACAAAAAUCUUCUAUAAACUUCAAUGCAAUGAGAGUGAUAGAAGAAUACACCAAUAGAGAAAUUCUAUGAAUGCUCAACCAAUUAGGUUACAGUUUCAAUAAAGAACAAGAAUAUACAUAUAUAGGUGAAGCUUGAGGAAGACCUGUAUCAAAGAUUCCAACUAUUAUAUAGGUUAAGCUAGUUGAAAUGGAGUUGCUUCACCGCUUGGUAAGGUCAGGCCCAAGAAGUCCCAGCUUCUUGUCGUGUGUAACUCAAGUAUUCUGCUCCUAAACACCAAUACCACUUCAUUCAUCUCUGCAGUUUAUUUCCUAAUUCCAUCAUUAAAAAAAAACUUCCUUCAGGCUUAAGAAAUCUUUUUGACAUCCACGAAAGCAUUUUUAGAAAGCAAGAGAAGCGGUUAUCUUAUAAUUACUAGCCAAGGCUGUCGCUUGGGUUGAAUUGAGCAUUGCUGAAAAACCAGAGAAACUAUGUUUGCAGCUGUACAGCAUUGAUUUCUCUGCCACUUCUUUCCUAUCAAAACAAAAGAAGAGGGAGAAAGAAAACAGAAAGAGAAAGAUUAUUAUUAAGAUUUAGGAAUAAGAGGGAUAAAGUAAACGCUUAGCAGUAGGUACCUUGCGAAGACAUUAGAGAGGAGCUGAAGAUUAUGAUUAGUAGUAAGGAGAGGAUCAUGGUUUCUGUUCUGUCCUAAGUAGACUAUAUAAACCUGCUUAAAAGAAGAACAUCGAAGAUAAUUAGAGAUGAGAUCAUUAGAGAAGAGAUUGAAAAAGGAGCACUUUUAGAUUUCAAUGACACAUACUUGAGAAAUGGAUAUUGAGUGAAUUAAAUAAAGUGAGAGUGAGAGGGAUAGGCACCAAAAACACUGACAAAAAGUGGCCAUUAUCUCCCAUGCAUGGGAAAACUCACAUCGAGGGCUGGGAUUAAAUAGCGAAACAAUGGUUGGUCUAUGACAAAGAUAUGGCCGUGGAAACAAUGCUUGUGGAGUGCGUGAAUUUGAAGGCUUCCAAAGCUGCAAGAACGCUGACAUCCAUCCAUUAGAACCAUCAUGAUGAUAUUUUCCCUUCCAAGCUAGUUGAUAAAGAGGGGCCAGGGUGAUUUGCACCCUCCCCCUUCUCCUUUUUCACAUAUUUACUUUAACUUGUAGUAGUACAAGCCACAAGGGUAUAAUUGGUGACUUACAGCCAAAGACUACCUCCAUAGUCCAUAGAGCUCCAUCAUAGUUGCUAUCACCACUGCACAAAGAAUGCAUGUGCCAUUCAUCAUUCUCAGGAGAAAAUUUUGUUUAGUUAGUUAAACUGACUAAGAUAACUGGAUUACCUUAUUAGUUACUACAAGUUGAAAGAUAUUUUUGUGAUUCUUACUUCUAAGUACAAAUGAAGAACAUUAAGUCAACACAAUGGCUUUCCUAAAUACCAAUACAUCUUACAUAAGACAAGGGACACAAAUAAAUUUUUAUUGAGGUAAUAUCCUUCAUUUAGGUCAUUCUGCCUUUUCAACGUACUUUCUGUAUUAAACUUUAAACACUUCUAUUAACCUGGACAAUAUCAGUUGCAUGAGACUAUAAACAUAUAGUAUACCUAUAUAUGAUAUUCUGAUCUUAUACUGAUUAACAUUCUGCAAAACUAAGUUUAACUCUGAUAGCCAUGAACUUAUAUAAAAAAUGUAGGGUUUUAAAAAAGGACAUGAUAAGUAUUUUUCUUUCAACUGAAUACGAACAUUCAGGUGUAGGCACUCUGAUGUCAAGCGACUUUCUGUUAUAUACCAUAAUCAUUACUUCAACUAGUAUAAAUAAAAGGCAGAAGAGAAUCAUUUAAAGGUAAUAUAGGCUUUGUGGGGGGACUUUGUAAUAGGAACCAAAUUUAUCCUCAGUAGCAACAUAACAAAUCUAGUGAGCAGUACAUACCUAGAAAAGGCCUUUCUGACCUUUUAGGCAAACUUUAUUAAGUAUAAACUAUGUUUUAAAAUGGCAGAAGUAUAAGAGCAAUGAGGAAACUCUUAUGGGUAUAGACUGCAUUAGUUAGAACCAUACUACAUUAGGCAAACACAAGCACAUCUAUACGCACCAUUUCAAAAGGGCUACAAGCAUUGUUCAUGUGUAGAAUUGUAGAAUUAGUCAUGCAUUUAUGCUAUAUACUCCUCCUUAGUUUCCUGAUGUUCCUUUUUUAGUUGAUUGCAUUUAAUUCUUAUUUACCUGUUCAAUUAACCAUGCUCUAUAUUGUGCACCUACGUAAAAGAAGUACGCUCUAUAAGAUUAUGAGAAUCAACCUAUGCAUGCAGUGAAUCAAACAUAGGUAACUAAUAUGCAAAUUUUGCUAUUGUACAAAAGAAACUAUCUUAAAGAGGUAUAUGCAACCAAAACUGAAUAAUGCUAACUGGAUUUAGUUUGGUCCACACGAUUGUGUGAAUUAAGUACAAUUCUGUUACGUAAAUGCAAUCUAUAACCACGGACUUAAGACUUACGAAAAAACACAUAUCACCUCCAAGAUGAACUAUCAUUAGACUUAUGAAAACUAAGAACAGUUGUGCCAAGAGGCAUCUGAUUUCAAUCUCAGAAAUCCUAGAUUGCAUCUUCAAGUGUCAUGAUUUUGAUUGAACAGUUUUGGCUUGAUAAGCAGGGAUUUCAAGUGCAACAAUAAGUUUUUUCUUUGUCAUGGACAUUUUAAAGUAUAUUUCUAUAUAUAAUGAAUUUUAGUGUAUUUCCUAUGAUAAUAUCUACGUUUAAAGCAACUCAAAAAUCAUUCGCAAAAAGAUUAAAUUGCAUUUUUAAGUUUAUAUUACUUUCAAGAUUUCACAUAUUAAACGAAUUGACAUAAAUAGAACUGCUUAAAAGUUUUCAUUAUUAUAGAGAAUAGCAUAUCAGCAUUCGCCUGGGUUAAGUACAAAGGAAAGAUAAUAAAGUUUCAAUGUUGCAUACUCAGGAUCAGGAAGCUACCAUCUUGCCUUGCUUAUGCAAAUUUGGUUUACAAUUUGACCAGUAUGAGAGUAGCCUGAAAGAAAGUUGCGUGGGGGCUAAUGAUAAUGAGUUUUUAGUUAAAAUGUAUGACAUUCUCUGGGAGAAGUUAAGGAAAGGUAUUUUAGAGGUUGAAUGGGCAAGGAGUUGCAUGUUGAUGUUGUUUGUAAAAGAAUGGAUAUAAACAGAACCAACAAAAAGGUGAACUAAUAAGAGAAAGAAAGAUAUCAUGCAUCCUCCUUGUUUUAAGUAUAAAACAUAAUAACAAAACUAUCAGAUAGCAUAGAUAGGGAAAAGGUUGUGGAAGCGCAAGCUUGAGAGAAUGGAAAUUUUGUUUUUUGCCAAUUUUGUUAAGUAAUAUGGGAGAGUAGCUCAUGGUGAAAGUGGCUAGUUGGCAAACUGAUAAUGCAACUGAGAGUUAGAGUUUUGUAUUGUCCAACCACCUCCGAAAAGUUAAGAAAGGUUAGGAAAAAAAUUAUGCUGAAUGUCCAUGUAGUAGGACCUAGGAAUUACAAUUCCAUCCCAUUAAUUCCAUUGCCAUACCUUGCCCUUUAAUUUUUCACAUUGUAUCAAUUUGAGCCAAUUGAUAACAUUGGUUAAAAAAUUGGACCAGACUUGAGGGCAAAAAAGAGAAAUAUACCUUUUCUCUCUUCCCCCUCUUCAAAGCAGUCACCCUACACCACCACUUACCCCCACAACACCCCUUCCUCUGCCACCACCCUUGAACUGCACCCCCGCCACCCCCACCUUCUUAUGCACCACACAUACACUCUUUCCAAUUCAUCAGCGGAGCCAUGUAGGACAGAUUGGGGGUGGGGGUGGUCAACCCCAUUCACUUCUCCAAAAAUUGUAUUUUCAUCUUUAAAUUUUAGAAGAAUCUUGAAGUUUGACCCAUAAAGUUUUAUUUUAUAUGUUUCCUUUAUUAUUUCUUACUCAUUAAAUCCUUGAUAUAAAAGGGACAACACCUCUAUUUUUCUUAUCUUAUUGUCUAUAUGUGUACGAAGUGAAUGAAAAACUACAACCUCUAGUUCUUUUAAUAACAUUAUAAAUAAAGCUAUUCGUAACAUGUUCAAAAUUUAAAAAGUCAUGGGUCUCUUCUAGACAUUACUUUUUCAUUAACACUUCAAUUUAAUUAUUUCUUUGGAUUAUCAAAUAGAAAAAUGCACAUGUAUAAUUCUAGAUAUGCACCCCCACAAUACAAGAAUCUUGGCUUCGCCCCUACUUCCCAUGCUUCAACCACCCCAACCAAUCCAUCAAAUGUGAAAAUUUGUAUUCAACCCAAAAGUUUAAGCCAUUAGGUGUAGAGGUCCAACAUGUAUAUUGAGUCAUAACCCGUUCCACACCCAAGCAAUGGCGAUUCUCCAUUAUCCCUCAUGUGAAUUCUCUAUUAAAGUCUGUCACGUGUAGCCUCCUUUUGGUCUAUUAUCGUGCAACCUUAGCCAUGUCUUUUUUGUUUUUAAUCUGGGAUGGAAUGUGCUUGGCUUUGAUAUCAUGUGAAACUUUGUAUCCAACCCAAAAAUUGAGUUCAAUGUGUAUAUUAACUCAUAACUCAUUCCACAUUCAAACAAUGCGGGAUUCUAUAACAUCAAGUUCAACACUCCUACGCCAACCAUCUCCCUGAACACAACCAGCCAACUUGGGUUCUUCAAGAAAAGAAAGGCAAAGCUAAUAUAAUUGUUCACAUAUGGAUCUACGAUUCUGACUUGGGGUAUGAAAAUAUAUGUAACGCCCAACUAUGAAAAUUUCCCAAGUAGUUUUAAAGUACAAUAUCAAUUUUAAUAUAUAAAUUUCUACCAACACAGAGUAAGUAAAAAAAAUAUCAUUAAAAAUAUUUAACUGGAAAUUAUUUGUCAACAAUUUAGUAGAAAAAUAUAAAAAUAUGAUUAUACAAUGGAGCACAAUAGUAAUAAAAAAGAAUUAAAAAAAAAUGGAGCACAAUAUAUCAUAUGCUUUCACAAUCAAAAAAUAGCAGCUACUGCUACAUGCGUCAAUCUAUUAAAGUUCAACAUUGAAGUUGUGUUUGACACACAUUUGUAAUAUAAAAAGUAUAUAUGAUAAACACGAAAUAAAUAAUUAAUCCUUUGAGGCUAUCAUGCAUGUGCUAAUGGGAUGUGAAUCCCUAUCCAUGGAGGUGUACCAACCCUUCAUAGAAUCAAAUUAUUUUACACAAUAGAAUUUUUUGAAUUUUUUGGGAUGUGGUCACUCCUAUGCAGCCUCUUGGAUCCAUCCGUGGUUCACUAACAGCGGAUCUCUAAGAGGCAUUCCAUCAAACACCAUGUAGCUCAAUCAUUCAGUGGAGGUUGUAGCUAGUAUUUCUCAAGUCAUUGGGUCAGAUUUUUAAUCAAAAGAAUCAGAAAUAAAUAUAGACGCGCAUAUACUGUAUACAUAUGCAAGUUACCUUUAUGUGUUUAUGUAUACAUAUGUGUGUGUGUGUGUGUAUUCAUGUAUAUACGAGAGAGAAAGAGAGAGAGAGAGAGAGAGG